rnacentral:lncRNA from 1 species
AACUAAAAGUGGCUCAUAGAAUGACAGAGCAGACAAAUUCGUAAAGCAAAACCAGUUCAACUACAAUUACAACAUUAAGUACAAAUGGCUACACAAAUCUUAUGAAGGAACAACAAGCAUGGAAUGGCUACCAAUAUUAAGAGAUAAAGUCCUUAUACUGUUACCCCAUUUGUCACAUUUUAUUACCACUUGUAUUAAACAAUUAAUGAUUUGAUUUAAUUCCUUUCUAUUUCAUUUGAUUUAACCGUUUAUGUUCUUACAAUGAAAUUCCUUUCUAUUUCAUGAGUAAUUAAAUUUUGCCAAUAUCGGUUAGUUGACUAAGAGCAUUCUGCCUGCAAGUUUUAUGGUGACACGCUGAGUGAAUGCAAACUUAUGACGUGACACGUUGACCUGUUGCAGUCUUGGCGGGUGACACGGUAGGGGCCAAUUGUGGUGACACAUUGAGUGCAAGCAGACUUAUAGCAUGUGUCACGACUUGAUACUCCCCUCGAGCCUGUGACAAUUACCGCGACGUCUCGAUAGACAUUCAUUACCUGGAAUGCCAACCGGAACCUCGCAAGGCUUUAAUAUCAGUUUUCGCACAUCCCCUGUGAGCAACAAUUGUUAAGUAUCAUGUUUUGAGAGAUUAUAAACUAUUUCCAAAUCAAAACAAUAGAAAAAUAAUUUUUUUCUCACAGGGGCAUUUUGGUCAUUUUUCCUGAAAAAUCUCGAAACCAACUAAAAAUGUAGUAUGCGAGUGGAAAACACAUAUUUCAUAAUAAAAAUAAGUUUAGAUGUCUAAAACAUUCAUUUAAAGUGACACUAUACUUAUUUAAAUAUAAUAAAAAUAUUCAAUAAAAUAUUUUAUUUUUUUAUAAAUUAAUAUUUAUAGAGUUACCGAUAAAUAAUUUUUAUAGCAUAAAAGCUAAAUAAAUUCAUACAUACUGUAAUACAGAUAACCAAAGCAUAAGAUUUAAUUUACAGUGACAGGUGGGCCUACGAACGACCAAAAGUAUCAAAAGCGAUAAACUUACAGUUUUUGAGGAUGCAAGUCUAACUGUAACCCUCAACGAAAUGAGCUAUCUACCGAUUAUCCUGAGCCUGAAAAAGGUGGAAAGGAGGGUGGUGAGAUUAUAUAAUCCCAGUGAGUAAACAAAUAUCAUCUAAAAUAUCUAAAGCCGAGUAAAUGAAGACAUAAAAAUAGAUUAGCAUAAAAAUGAUUCACAGCAUUUUGAACUCAUUUUAAUAAGAUAAAAUAGAUUCAUUUCAAUAAAUAAACAACGAGGCUUAUGAUUUCUCGAAAAGCUUGGCUCGUGCCAAAAUCAUUCUCAUACUCAGUUAUCAGGGAUACCUUGGCCUGGGGCUAUCCCAACCGAGUCCGCCGAGGUUGUUAAAAAGUCAUGUACGCAUAAAUCAUGUUUUUAUUUUGAAAACAUAACCGUUUCUUGGCGUUGGCUGAGUUCACCCUCACGUGGUGGUUUGGCGUGAAGUGAACUCUAAAGGUGUACCUCGGGAGUUGCCCUACGCGCCUCCCCAAUCGAGGUAAGAAUAUGACAGGAUUUCGUGCCCCUCAAAAAGGCUGGUCCACAAAACCCGCCCACUGCAGCAAGCUAAACCCACCAUACAAUAAAAUUUACGAUAGCAUGAUAUGGCAAUUAUUUUAUUUUACAGCCUCUCAAGGCAAAUCAACAGUUCAUACAUUUUUAGCACAUUUACCAAUUUAACCAUUCAUGCCAAUAUUAUCAUAAGCCAUUCAAUUCAAACCAUAAAUUCACAAUACAUCAAAUGGUCUCCAAUUACUCUAUUUUCAAAGCCAUCAUUCAAUUUCAAGACAGUUUAUAAAAUCAUUUCAUUUAAACACAUUUUGUUUAUAAAACCUAAAAAUUAACGAUUUAAACUCAUUUUUCAUAAAAUCACAAAAACGAAUUAAAAUUCACUUCAGAUAAUCAAGAUGAUGAUAAGGUUACUCACUGUAAUGGGAAUUGAAUUUCAAGUACUCCGAUUCUUGAUCCUCGGGUACUAUCUUUUUACUUUUGCCAGAAUGCUUACCACCUAGACAAUACACGACACAUAAUUCAAUAUACUGUGUCAUACCAUUAUAAAUCUAUUUCAGGCUCUUUACUAAUGCAUGAAAUGGGAUGUGAAAUGCUCGGUAACCAUCUAAAUACGGUGUUUCAGUAUAAGUUCAAUUGUGUACCUAUAUAAAAUGGUAUUGGCCUAAUUCGAUCUAUCACCCGAUUAAUUGGCCAAUAUGUCUAAUUCAACUCCAAAUAAUUCAAUUUUUCUCCCAGUACUCCAAAUCAUCAAACACAAAUUAAAUAACCUGAAAUAUGGCAAAAUCAUCCUCACAUUUUCUCUUGAAAAAUUCGACCAUGGAGGGUUCACUAACAAUAUAAUUUUUCAAGCUUGAUUCUCACACCAUAAAUCACUAAUUCCUAACCAAAUCACUUAAAAUAAAAUCAAAAUCAUCAUCAAUAUUCCACUUGGAGAAUUUGACCAAUGAUGGGUUAUGGAAGAACAUGAAUUUUUCUUGCUUGAUUUUCAUGCCACACAUCACUAACUAACUAAAAACACUAAAAUACAUUGAAAUCUAACCAAAUCAAGCAUCAAAACCUCCCUUUAAAUGUUCGGCCAGCAAGGGAUUCAUCAUGAUUUCAUAUGAUUCAACCAUGAAAAAUAAGAAGAAAAUGCUUAAGAAAGAGAGAUCUCAAGCUUAAUUGAAAAAUCUUACCUUUUUUUCACUUGUUUCCUUGAAUUUUCACACUUUUCCCUUGAAUUUUCCACCUAGGGUUUUUGUUCUUUCUUUUCUUCCUUUGUUCUUGCUUUGGCCGGUCAUAAGAAUGAAUGUGGAAGAGUUCAAAUUGGCUUUAUAAAGGAAAAUAGUAAAUGGACAAAAAUUUACCAUGUGUCACCAUUCCAUUGGUCCAUGUGUCAUACUUACCCAUUAAGCAAUCUCUCUCCACCACUUAAAUUUCCUUAAUUAUCCAUGAUAAUAUUGGGUAAAAUCCAUGUGUUGGACAAGUGUUGGGUGGUGCAAAAUGACUAUUUUAUCCCUAUGCUCGAAAAAAUGUCAAAAUUAAAAUUCUUCACUUCUCAAACUCAAAUUAUACUCCAAAUGAUCAAUCUUAGUCAAAAAUUUCAUCCAACACUCACAUUUUAACCUCGAGUGGAAAAAUGACCAUUUUACCCCUAGGUCAUGAAAAUUCCAAUUUGACUCCAAAUCGGUCCUCGAAUUCCGAAUCACCAUUUUAAGUCAUUCUGGGGUUUUAAAAUUCUCAAUUUCAUCUUAAAAUCUCUAUUUGGACUAGUUCGAGGCUUAAUUCAACUUAAUUGUACCAUUUGGUACAUUGCCAUCCUUUAACAAUUUCUGAGGUACCCAAGUAAGCAAACGUGCAUUCUUAUGUAAGAAUGGCAUAAUAAACAUAUUGGAGAGCUGGGCUUGACAGCAUGACACGCUGAGUUAAUUUAGACUUAUGGCAUGACACGUUGACUUCUUACAGUCUUGGCAGGUGAAACGACUGAGGCCAAUUGUGGUGACAUGCUGAGUGCAUGCAGACUUGGCGUGAUACGCCAAAUUGUUGCAGUCUUAUUGGUGACACGGCACAAAAUUAAUAAAAUUAAGGAAAGUUUUAAAAAAGUAACACCUGUUAUAAGAAAAAUCAACUAACCUGAUAUUUUAAUUCUUAUUUGGGGGAUUUGGGCUUUCAGAUGCUUAUCCAUACUUAAUAUUAAAACCCACUGUAAGUGGUCGCAAUUGCACUACAUCACAAAGACUCUCGAAGAGAUAGGGGAGUUCAAUGCAGGGAAGCCUACGUGCUUCGGGAUGCUCCUGGAUGUCUAUCCAUAAGCUUCGUCUAUCAAACUUUGACCUUGCUUGCACGGUUGAGUUGAUUGUAGCCCGGUACAGUUUUCCUAGUACCCCAAGGGAAGCAUACAUGGGUUUGUCAACCCUUUGCCUGAAGUCUGGAAACUCCCUUGGUUUCAAGGAUCCAGGCAUCUCAGCUGGUGCUCCUGUCUUUCCAAAAUCAACAGCCAUAGAGUGAAGAGUUGCCAAUUCUAGGCUGGAUCAAGACCUCGAAUCAUGGACCUAGAAUUGGCAACUUUUCACUAUAUGGCUGUUGAUUUUGCAAAGACAAGAGCACCAGCUAAGAUGCCUCGAUCCCUGAAACCAAGGGAGUUCCUAGACUUCAUGUAGAGGGUUGACAAACCCAUGUAUGCUUUCCUUGGGGUACUAGGUAAACUGUACCGGGCUACAUUCAACUCAACCAUGCAAGUAAGGUCAAAGUUUGAUAGACGAAGCUUGUGGAUAGACCUCUACGAGCAUCCUAAACACGUAGGCUUCACUACAUGAACUCCCCUGUCUCUUGGAGAGGCAAAAUGUCAGGAUCCUCAUACUGUCUGCGUUGGAUCUGCAAAACAUGGCACACAUGCACCAGUGAGUUAAGCCAUAAUGUGCAACAACGUAUAGUGAAGAAAUAAAUAAGGAAUAAAUGUUGUGACACGUCAUGCAUAACAAGCAAAAUGUUCUGACACGCCAUGGAUAACAAGCAAAAUGUUCUGACACGCCAUGCAUAACAAGUUAAACGUUGUGACACGCCAUGCAUGACAAGUUAAACGUUGUGACAUGCCAUGCAUGACAAGUAAAUUGUUCUAACACGCCAUGCAUAACAAGUAAAAUGUUGUCACACACCAACACUGACACGCCAAUAACUAACUAUAAUACAAAUGUCCUGACCCGCUAAUCACCAAAAACUAGUUAAACCACUACCACUUAACCUCAAAAACCAUCAAACCAGCAAGAAAACACAAUCUAAACAGUUGCUAAACGUAAACCACUAAAAUACAAGCGAAGAUAGAAUAACGUACUUAUGAUUUAAGGCCGUCAAGAAUCUGAGCAAUGAUAUGGUCCUCAAGCGUCUGCAUUGCUAGAGUCAAUGACUAAAUUGAAGCCUUCAGCUCUAACAUCUCUUCUUCAUGCUAGCGCAUGAUCCGUCAAAGCUGACGGGUAGUGACUACUCUAUCAUUGACUCUUCUCGACUAGGUCAAUUGCAAUAACAUAUAUAAAGGUGUUAUUCAAUAAUCAUAUAUGGAUUUGUUAAACAUUAACCAUUACAACUUUAAUAUCCUUACCAGCGGCUCGUUAGCAGUCUACGGUGGAGCCAGACCCAUCGAUGCUUGAGGACUUGUCCUCGCUUUCGUAAACUGUAAUAACAGAAAUUAUUGUGUUACUCGAUAAACAUAUGUGAAAAUGUAAACAAAAACCGUUAGAACCCAUCUUACCGAUGGGUCGUUUCCACUGUGCGUUUGAGGAGGAUCGGUGGGUGGUUUUGAAGCUACCAACACAUGGUCCAACUACAAACAUAGAUAUGUUAUUCGAUAAUCACAUAUGGAAUUGGAGAACACAAAAUCGUCAGAACUGUCCUUACCAGCUGUUCACUGCCUUGACCAUGGUCGUCCCCUUUGUCCAUCAACUCAGGGCCUGACAGUUCAUCAACUAAACCAGCGACGGUGCGUGUCCGCUUCGUGCCACCAGAGGCUCUUUUCUCCUUCAAGCUUCUCCUUUUUUGCCUUGCAUCUAAGCCCCAAUCCGAUCGAUCCUCCAUGUGCCCUAUUGGCACAUACUCGUGGCCCUCCGAUAACGGGACAUCAAGGUCCACAAAAUACUCUUGGCUGGCCUCAUCCGCGGUGGGUUCCAAAGUCUCCAGUGCCCACAACUGCAAAUAAACAAAUAAAAUGUUAUGAUUAUCGAAUAGGGAAAGUUAUUAUACAAAUAUAAAGAAAAAAUUAGUAGCUGUUCACUCACAUGCUCUGAUGACUCUAACUUUUGAAAUGUCGUGUAGAAGUCUUUUAGCUUCUGAUUGCAAUCCCAUUUGCACAUUCGUGGGUAGACGUUGUCCUUCGGAUCAGAAGGGGCAACUAUGUUUUGCAAGGUUGGAAUUGCCUCCAUUGCCCAAAAUUGCAAGUCAAAUGGAACCAUUAUUAGACCGUAAAUCAUAAACGAGUGUAGCCAUAAAUUAUUAAAGCAAAAAGGACAUUGAAAAAUGUUACGUGAUAGUACUUGUAUCACCUAUGCGAAUCCAUAAAUGUUGUCGCGUAACCGAGUUUCCUUUGUCAUGCUUGAGUCAAGCACUUCAAACCCCUUCAAAAGGUAGUCCAAGGUCAGCUUCCAAACAUAGUGCCCCUAUAGGAAGACAUUCCAAGCUUUGAUGUCCUCCACCAAUGACAGCAACCAAGGCGUCACUUGUCUACGGUAGUCUUGACCAAAUAAAAUUUUAUUCGCGAUCAAGACGAGUGCCAUCUUGGUCGUGUCUCCUGGUCACUAGAAGUUGCCCCCACCGAAUGUAUCAAGCAAAGCCUGCAGCUCAACGCUCUCCUGCCCGUUCCAGUAUCCGGCAUGAAUUUUGUCCGCAGUAACCUCGUAUGGUUGUCUGAACACAUCGGGCAUUGGACCAAACUUCAGCCCAGUGAUGAGCCAGAACUCCUGCUUUGAUAGCUGCGCCUUGCUCUUGCCAAUGACAAACCAUAGCUGGUGGGCCAUUGAUUGGCUCUCAGUGAUCUGGCGAAACAUGAUGCUAUGCAGGAGACCGACGCAAAAGUACCCUUGUGGAUAGACGUCCAGAAUCCUUUCGAAGUACGUACGCUUCACUGCAUCGUACUCCCCCUUCUGUUGGAGAGUCUUUGUGAUGUAAUGCAGUUGCGACCACUUACAGUGGAUGUUAAUUGCAACGUUGAACGCCUACUUUUCCCUCGGCACGAUUAGCAAACUGUCAAAAUCCUCAUACUGUCUGCGCUGGAUUUGCAAAACAUGGCACACAUGCACAAGUGAGUUAAGCCGUAAUGUGCAACAAGGUAUACUGAAGACAUAAAUAAGGAAUAAAUGUUGUGACACGCCAUGCAUAGCAAGCAAAAUGUUGUGACACGCCAUGCAUAGCAAGUAAAAUGUUGUGACAUGCCAUGCAUAACAAGUAAAAUGUUGUGACACGCCAUGCAUAUCAAGUAAAAUGUUGUGAAACGCCAUGCAUAACAAGCAAAAUGUUGUGACACGCCAUGCACGCCAUGCAUAGUAAGCAACAUGUUGUGACACGCCAUACAUAUCAAGUCAAAUGUUGUGACACGCCAUGCAUAUCGAGUCAAAUGUUGUGACACGCCAUGCAAAUCGAGUCAAAUGUUGUCACACGCUAACAAUGCAGUGACACGGUAAACACAAAAAAACCCCUAAAACCACCAUGACUUAACCCCAAAAACCAUUAAACUAGCAAGACACAGUGUACACAUUUGCAAAACAAAAAACACGAACAUAUCAAACAAACCCAGCAAAAAAGUAAAAAAUUAACGAACACAAGAAUGUUUUAAUUUGAGACUCACUGACCUCUUCACUCAUAGCCGACAUUGUUGCUGGUGCUGUGCUGUCGUUACAUUUACAAAGAGCCUUCUCGAACACUCCGAUACCAGUGGGAAUGAGAAAUGAAUCACACAGACAUGAGGAAUUUUAAAAAAUAACUGUUUAAAAUGAAAAAUGGCCUUAUAAUAUUCUUAUUUAUUCGUUUCACUAAGGGGAAUCAAUUCAGUGGAAGUUUAAACAAUUACCACGUUAACUGUCCACUUUUUUUCCUUUCUCUAUUUCAAACCAUGACGUGUCAGCUAUUCAAGCAAUGCCGUGUCACGCACUCUAAACCAAGCAAUGCCGUGUCACACACUCUAAACCAUGGCGUGUCAGCUUAACAAGCAAUGUCGUGUCACACACUUUAAACAUGGCAUGUUACCAACUCUAAACUCUGGCUUGUCACAGCUUCCCUUCAUAGCAUGUCACCAACUCUGAACUCUGGCGUGUCACAGAUUCCCUCCAUGGCGUCUCACCAACUCUGAACGCUGGCAUGUCACAGAUUCCCUCCAUGCCGUGUCACCAACUCUAAACUCUAGCAUGUCACAGAUUCCCUCCAUGGCAUCUCACCAACUCUAAAUGUUGGUGUGUCAUAGAUUCCCUCCAUGCCAUGUCACCAACUUUGAACUCUAGCGUGUCACAGAUUCCUGCCAUGACGUCUCACCAACUCUGAACGCUGACGUGUCAUAGAUUCCUACCAUGGCGUGUUACCAACUCUUAACUCUAGCAUGUCACAGAUUUCCUCCAUGGCUUCUCACCAACUCUGAACGCUGGUGUGUCACAGCCGUGUCACACAUUCCCAACAUGACGUUUCACGAACUCUAAACCCUGCCCUGCCACAGCCGUCUCACAUAUGGCCUGCUAUAACAAGACCAUUUCCUGCUUUGGAUUCACAUCUUUCUCCUUUUAAUUCACCACCGUAUCAAGGAUUUUUGGUUUCACAUCAUUAGCCAAGCUUUCCAUUCAUCACGAUCGAUUCCUCGUUCGGUUUAAUAUCAUUCUUCUCCUCUUAUCUAAAUGCCAUGACCCAAAUCUCUAAAGAACCAUCUCAUGCAACAUUAUUUUGUUUUGCACAACCUUCGCAAAAAAAGAAAAAAUGGAUGUUUUGCACAAAAUUAAAUGUUCGUAAAAUUCUUUGCAUAUUUAUUUAUUUUUUCCUAUUUUUCGCUUGUUUGAGAGUGCACGCUAAAGAAGAUGGCUCAUUAAAGGCAUUUUUGUUCCAAAAUCUAUUAUGGUGGCUAAAAACAGUUAAAGUUAUCCCGAGGGUUAUUUAUAAAAACAUGUUAUUUUUAAGGGCUAAAAAAAAAAAAUCCCCGAUAAGGUAUUUGCCCGACUUGAUUCACCAAGUCAAAUCUAAAAGUAGCUAUAACCAGGUUGUGUAUGCUGUGCUGCCUACUUAUGUUAAACAAUUAAAUUAAUCGACAGAACUUUCUUAUAUGUUGCACCAGAGAUAUUUAUUUUAUCUAUUCCAUAUUUAAAAGAAAGCCUAAAGGAGCUUUCUCAUUUUUCCACGUCUCAACUUAAAAAGGUGGCCACGUUUCAAGUUGGCUUUUGCAUGCUUUUGCUUCUCUACAGGUGGAGUCAUGAAGAGGGAGUUGGGGAUUAGGUUGGGGGCUGACAUGUGAUAGGUUGGGGUUAAAAGGGUGUUAUAGUUGAGGUGCAAAGGCUAGGAAAGAGUAAGGAUAAAGUGGAAAGAAAAAGAAGAAUAAGAAAACAAAAUUUGAAAAAAAAAUUGGGUGAAAAAAUCAUAUUUGAUAAAAAAGCAAUGGGCAAAGAAACGGGUAAAAAAAGGGGUGGAGAUCCGUACCUAUAUGAGAGAAAGGUAAAUCUAGGUUGAGAGGAAGAUGUGAGAGGAAAAAGUAGAAAAGAAAACAAAAAGAAAAAUUGAGAAAAAAAAAGGGUAAUUUUUUUAAUUGAGAUUCAAUUUUUUGUAGUUUUUUUCUCUCUUGUUUUUUUGUUAUUAUUUUUUUAAUAUUUAAUUUUUUUACUGAUUACAUUUAUAAUUUUAUCUUUUUAAUAAAUUUUUUAAUACAAUACAAAAAAUAACAAAAAAAGUCCUAACAAUGCAUUAUAUAGACUUGUUAGUAAUAGUAUUGUUUAAAUUUGAUAAACAAGUUCAUUUUGAAUAAAUUUAAUAUGUCAUCAUAAUAUUUUUUGACUUUUAAAAAUUUAUGUUUACACAUUACAAUGUAAUUUAUAAAUGAUAUUUUGAUUUUUUUUAAUAGUUAUUUUUAUUAAUGUAAAUUCAUUUUAUAUCUUAUUCAUAUAUAAAAAAGUUGUACCCAACUUAUAACAUGGGCUACACUCUAAUCUAUAACAUACUUAAAAGGAAACCCCAAUGGGGCUUCCAGAGUUAACCACGUGGAGGGCAAAAAGAGUGAAAGGGAAAAGAUGUUGAAGCAAAGAGAGGGGGUGCAAAGAGGUCUAUAUGUUGCACACGGGUAAUAUUCUAGUAUACUUUAAAAGAAGCUUUAAAAAAGCUCUCUCAUUUUACCACAUGAAAAGCACAGAAAGAAAGAAAAAACAUAUUGAAGAAAAAAGAGAGGUACAAAGAGGCCUCUGCAAUGCACGGGCCAUAGUCUAGUCCAAGAAACAAGAAGCUUUGAUGAUUGAAGUCUCCUCCUUUCUUCUUCCUUUUGAAAUUAUUGAGGUAUGACAAAAGGUUUACUUUUUGUUUUUCGUUUUCUAAUUACAGCUUUGGGUUGGAAUUUGCCACGAAGAGCAUACCUUAUUCCCCUAGCUUAUCAGGGUCUUGGCCAAACGUCACUCACUUUUCCAAUACAUUCUUUCACUAAUUGCUAUACGGUAUGAUCAACAUGGCAAACUAUUAUCAUGUUAUAAUUUGUUGUUGGUUUAGGAAAUGUUUUUGCUGCUAGUGUAGACACUAAUUUUUAAAUUAUGAGUAAUUAAUAUUUUUAUUGGUGCUUUUUCUCUUUAUAUGUGUGCUUUUAUUUUAUUUUACUUUUUUUUAUUCUUAGCCAAAUUCAUGUAGGUGCCCAAUGGGCUUUAGGCAGUCCAAAUUUUAUUUUUAGGCAUUUGACUUAAUAGAAACAUGCCAGAUAAUUAAAAUUAAAGCAAUAUAGAUCAAACUAGAUAACAAGAUUAAAACUGAUAAUCAAGAAUUAAAAACUAAAUGAAACUAAGAACUUUCUAGAAACCAAAAGAACAAAAAAGGAAUAAAAUAAGAAAUGAAAAAAAAUGAAAAAAAAGGCCAAUUGGGGGCAUACGACAGGGUGCGUUUUGCACCCGCACAAUCAUGCCUUGCUAGACGUGAGAAAUUUGUGUCUGGCAAAGGCCUUACUAUGAUGGGAACGGCAUAGGUGGCCGUAUCUCCAGCAUCAAAGGGUAGCUAUAAAACUGUGUUUCUCCCAAAUCAAAUAAUGAGAGUUAGAGAUCAAAAAAGGUAUUUUCUUCAAAAAUCCCUAACCUGGCGAAAACCUUAUUUUUGAAAACCCUAGCUUCUACUACCAACCAGUGAGAUACCAUAACCAAAAAUAAAAAAAAUCACAAAAAAAUAAAGAAAUUGAAACCAUCAAAACUGAAAGCAAGAUCUAGGAAAUGGGUUUGGUGAGGUUUUGAAGGGAAGGUCUAAUAGUGUGAGAGAGCUAAAGUUUUUGGGUUUAAACUAUCCUUCUUUCUUUUCUUUUUUGACUGAGAGAGGUAAGAGAGAUGGCUGUCAAGGUAGUGAAGAGAGUAAGGGCUUUCAAAGCUGGCGGUGGUAGUGACUGUUGAAAGGAAAAAGGGGAGUUGAACGUUUUCAAAAAAAGGUAGAGAGUGCCGUCGGGUAGAGAGAGAAAAUGAAGAAAGAGGAGGAAAAGAAGGGAUUUAUACCUAGGGUUGUGGGUUGAAACGGUGUUGUUUUGGAAGAGUGAAAGGGAAGUAAAUCUUAGCCCAUAACGACGUAGUUUUGAGAGAAGAAAAUGAGCUGUUAUUGUAAGCACCAGAUGGUGUGUUUUGGGGAGAAGACUUAGUGAGCUACAGCAGACUCGGACUCUUCCUAGCCCAAUAAGGUAAAGCCCUUCAUCUUUUGUGGAUCUGUUGCUGGUUUAGGUUGUUUAGGUCUAGCCCAUGCCAUUUGUUUAUAAAUGUUUUGUUUGAUGAUGAAGAAUUAUUUUAAAUUAUUUUAGUAUAAUGUUAUAAAAAUUCUAGAUGAUAUUUUAAUGUUAGGGGGUUAAAUAGAAAUAAUAACAAAGAUAGCAAAAUAAUAAAAAUGUUUUAAGUAUGGUUUGUUAUAAAAAGAAUAUAAGUUUAAAUGCAUAUUUAGUAAUAAAAAAUGAGGUUUAGGUAAGUAGAAUAUAUAUAUAUAUAAUAUAUAUAUAUAUAUAUAUAUAUAAGGUAAAUGUCUAAAUAAAAAAAAUAUUUAUGGUGAUAGAUUUAGUUAAGGUAAAAAUAUAGAAAAGAUAAAUGUUUAGCAAAAAAAAGAGAUUUAAAUAGAAAAAUGGAAAAUACCUAGUUAUAAAGAAAAAGACUUUUGUAAAUUAAAGAAAAUAUAAGAGAAAUAAAAUAUAUUUAGUCAUAAAUGAAAAUAGGUUAGGUAGGUAAGAGAAAUGAAAUAUUUAACUACACAAAUUUAUAUAGAGAUAUAUAUAAAUAUAAAAAAUAUGAUAUAAUAUAAAAUUAUAAAUAUAAAAAUAGUGUGGUUGUUUUGGAUUAAUUCUGAUAAUGGAAUUUUAUUCGUAAAGGCAAAGAGUUGCUAUUUUCAAGANUAGUGAAGAGAGAUUUAAAUAGAAAAAAUGGUAAAAUGCCUAAUUAUAAAGAAAUAUACUUUUACAAAUGAAAGAAAACAUAAGAUAAAAUAAAAUAUAUUUAAUCAUAAAUAAAAAUAGGUUAGGUAGGUAAGAGAAAUGAAAUAUUUAACUACACAAAUUUAUAUAGAGAUAUAUAUAUAAUAUAAAAAAUAUGAUAAUAAUAUAAAAUUAUAAAUAUAAAAAUAGUGUGGUUGUUUUGGAUUAAUUCUGAUAAUGGAAUUUUAUUCGUAAAGGCAAAGAGUUGCUAUUUUCAAGAUGACUUUGUUAAGAACGGGAUUCAAUUAAGGUUUUUUUCGAAGUGUCGGGAUAAAUCCUAAUUUUGUAUUUCGAUAUUUCGAUUAAUUCAAACAAUUGCCCUAAAAUUCGUAAAGAAAUAAAUUCAUAUAAUGUUCUAUCUAAAUUAAAAUCGCUAUAGUUAUUUAAUCAAUUUAAACAAUUAUUGCAAAUAAAGGAUUUGUUAUUUAUUCAAAAAAAUAGUUUAAUAAAACAAAAUAAUAUUGACUCGUAAUAUUAAUUAAAAAUUAUCGAUUUAAAUAAUUUUUUUAAAAAAAUAUAUAUAGCAAAAAUAAAUGAGGUAUUUAAUUGUAUUAAACUAUUAAAUAUAUAUAUAUAUAUAUUAUAAAUCAAUAAAAUUAUAUUUAUAAACGUGCUCAUUUGGCAUCAUUCACGAUUUUUAUCUUGGCAUAGCAUAUGACAAAUAUAUUUUGUUAAUGGGACAAGAACUCCGAUGAUGGGAUUUCCUCGAAAGACUUUUAGAGACGAGUUUUUCGGGGGAUAUCCCUAGGUAAGGAAAACUUUGAGAUUUCACCAAAGUAUUGAGAUGGUCUACGAAUGAUUUUCCUAUACAAGGUUUUCGCUACUUAUUAUUUAAAAUUGGUAGAUCAUGACAUUAUUUCAUAACUACAUCAUGCGCACUUGUAAAACCGAAUGAAAAGCUUUAAUUUGCUAAUAUAAUAAAGAAUAAAAUAAAUAAACAAGGAUUAGGAAAAGAUAAGAAUAAAAUCAAUGGUUUAGACUACAAUAAGAUAAUAUAUGAUUAAAUGAUACUGUUCAUGGAACGGGCAUUACAAGGGUACUAAUCUUUUCCCGUGUGUAACCGUACUCUCGAACCCAACUCUAAAAAUUCACAAACCAGUUUAUUGUUUUUUAGAUGGACCUAAAAUCAAUUUAGGAUUCUGUCGAAUAGAACAAAUUUAACAGGUGGCCAAUCGCACCUAGAUAAAAAAGAUUGGUGGCGACUCCUUAUUCUUCUACGUCUAGCGAUCAGGUUCCCGAACCCACACGUUAGACAGCUUGGCGACUCCAUUGGGGAAAUAGAUAGUUAAGCCAUUAAUUAAUCAUAAGUUAUCCUAAGCCUUAAAUAAUUUAUUGUCAUAUUUAAUCUUAAGCAUUUACUUUGUGCAUUAUUAUUUGUUGCAUUUAUUGUUUUGCUAUUGUUAUUUUAUCGCCAUUAAAUAAUUAUGGGGAAUUUAGGAUAGAGGGAUAUGAGGUUAUCGAUCAAAAGUUGGUACGUUCCUUCACACACACGACACAUCUUGCAUUCAUGCAUAAGCCUUCUACUCAGGCUAGAUCUUUCGUUAGAAUGGGGUUUAAUAGUUAAGCUCUCGUGAGGUGAUAACCUCCGCAUGGGCUAGUGAAGACUCUUACUCAGAUUAAACCCAGUUCGUUCGAAGUUUGUAAUGGGUGAGGAUUGAGGUGCUUUACUAGUUCGAGCGGACGACAGUGAGGAACAAUUUGGGAACCUAUAGCUUUGUCAAACCUAAACCUAGCAUUUAGAAUGUCGUGAGUAACCUUUUCUUAGGUAGAGCCUUACCCGUGAGAAUAUACCCUUUGAUUAGGCACACGUGAAGGAACUUCUCUUACUCCUUUUACUUUAAAACUUCCCACCAAAAUAGUAAUAAAUCAUGGUGUAAAUAACGUCUGACGACGUGGUAAAUACCCAUGAUCUUAAUCAUUGCUUUUUUUAAAAUACAAGUUAAUGUUCUUUAAUUUUGUUUACUAUACUGACUUGAGCUUGUUGUCAUUUUUUAUUUGCAUAUGCACAUUUACAUCAUAAUUUUGCGUAUAGGAAAAGUAUUUGUCACCUAACAACCAUUGACGAGGGAGAGUUCAAUUACAUUCAUGGAGUCAUCAUGGCCACCUUCAAGCUAUGACGAGAUAUAUGAAGUGACUCAACACACGACACAUCUUGCAUUCAUGCAUAAGCCUUCUACUCAGGCUAGAUCUUUCGUUAGAAUGGGGUUUAAUAGUUAAGCUCUCGUGAGGUGAUAACCUCCGCAUGGGCUAGUGAAGACUCUUACUCAGAUUAAACCCAGUUCGUUCGAAGUUUGUAAUGGGUGAGGAUUGAGGUGCUUUACUAGUUCGAGCGGACGACAGUGAGGAACAAUUUGGGAACCUAUAGCUUUGUCAAACCUAAACCUAGCAUAUAGAAUGUCGUGAGUAACCUUUUCUUAGGUAGAGCCUUACCCGUGAGAAUAUACCCUUUGAUUAGGCACACGUGAAGGAACUUCUCUUACUCCCUUUACUUUAAAACUUCCCACCAAAAUAGUAAUAAAUCAUGGUGUAAAUAACGUCUGACGACGUGGUAAAUACCCAUGAUCUUAAUCAUUGCUUUUUUUAAAAUACAAGUUAAUGUUCUUUAAUUUUAUUUACUAUACUGACUUGAGCUUGUUGUCAUUUUUUAUUUGCAUAUGCACAUUUACAUCAUAAUUUUGCGUAUAGGAAAAGUAUUUGUCACCUAACAACCAUUGACGAGGGAGAGUUCAAUUGCAUUCAUGGAGUCAUCAUGGCCACCUUCAAGCUAUGACGAGAUAUAUGAAGUGACUCAACACAUGGUGAACGCUUAAUGAAGUGCGGGAGAUUGCUUGGCAAAAGGUCACAUUUCAUCACUACUUAAAAGGGUCCACCUAGAUCUUAAACAGAAUGACUUUACAAACUUUAUUGAUAUAUGGGAAAGGUGGUAGUCCACGACUCGAGAAAAUUUUGAUAAGAGAUAUGGCCAUGUAGCUCGACUCCUUAAGGUUCAAAUUGAUGAUCAAUUGUUAAAGGCCAUCGUACAAUUAUGGGAUCCAUCAUAUAGAUGUUUUGUUUUUAAUGAGGUGGAUAUGGUGCUGACAAUUGAAGAAUAUUUAGCUUUGCUCCAAAUUGAUCUUGACAAUCUAGAUAAAAUAUAUUGGGGAGGACAAAAGACCGAUCAUAGACGAAAGCUAGCCAAAAUGAUGGGUAUAACUCUGGAGGAAGUCGACCAAAACUUAAGGAAAAAAGGGAACAAUGAAUGCAUCCCAUAGAGCUUUUUACGCGGUUACAUCAUGAAGCAUUAGGACACAGAGCAAAGUCAACUUGCAAUGGCAUUAGAAAGAUACGUGCUAAUAAUCUUUCCAAAAGUUUUGGGGCAUAUACAAGGCCAAUCCUUCACCAUUAAUCCUAACAGAAACUCUCAGAUCGCUGAACUAUUGUUGGAGAAAAGGGGAAGGACGAUUUGUGGGAUGCACACAACAUUUUUGCAUCUGGAUAAUAAGUCACUUUGAUUCUAAAGUCAAGUGGUUUAGAAAACCAUUUCAUCCACAAAGUGCCCUCAUCAAAGAAUUCUGUGAGAGUGAAUGGCUAGAGAACAAGACUAAAGAGCAAUGGAUUUCCAAGCUUAGAAAACUCAUAAGUGUGGAGGUAACGUGGAGAGCUUCGUGGAUGCCCUGUCGCCCUAUUAUGUACAAAUGUGGAGAUGAACCUUGGGGAACAUUAAUGGUACCAUGGGAAGCAAUCAGUUAUGCCGCAAUCAUGGUGAGAAUGCAAUUUGGAUUAGAGCAAUUUGUGUCGAUAACACAUUGACUCAACACUUAGGAGUUUGAUUAUAGAGAGCCUAGAUUCUUGAAAAAAAUUGAGGAGGUUGCAUGAGCAUAGAAGAAGAUAAGCCAGGUACACCAAGAAAGGUACAUUGAUGAAGUUAUUACUGGGCACCUAAUGUAGCAUGCCGAAGAUGUAGUAUACCUACACGAAGAUGCACUUCAUCACCCAAUUGAUUCGAAACCUCGAGAUGCUUUGCUUGAGAAUGAGUUGGCUCGAUAGAAGUUCGAAGCUGAAAGUGCCAAUUGGAAGCAACGAUAUGAAGAUCUCUAAAAAAAGUGUAAGAAGAUGAAAAAAGAAGCAAUUGAACAAAGGAUGAAGGUUCAAAAAAUAGAAAAGGAUUGAGAAAAGUAGUUCGAAAGCCUGGAUAACAAGUUUUUCCCCAUAACCAGCGAGCUCCAAAGGGAAAUACAAAUGAGAGAAAAUAGAGGCAAUGAGCUUCAAGCGUACAAUGAUGGAUUGAAAAACUAGGUGCGAUUCCAAUAAGAAUCCAUCCAGUUGCUGAGACAAGAGUAUGAUGAGCUUAAAGGGAUUAUGGGAACUUAUCAACGAGAAUAUGAAUGCCUCAAGCAUGAAACCACUUGAAUUCGAGAUUGACGUGAAUCCCAUAAACAAGCCUAUGUGGAGAAAAAAGAUCAAAUGGAUUGUUUGAUUAAGCAAAUGAUAGAGGUGGCUUAUAGGGCAAGAAGAAUGGCUAAAAAGAUAAACAUGCUAAGAAGUCAUGUCUUUCCAAAGGGGAAACAAGAGCAACAGCUAAUUGAGUAUUAUGAUGAAGUGUAUAGCCAUUACGGUAGAAUUGGUCAAUAUUUCUAGAUGUAAAAGAUGACUCUUGAAUUGUAAUAAAAAACAACAUUUUAUGUAGUGGAUCACUCUUGUUAAUGGAUGUUAUGUGACAAAUUAUUUUACACAUGACCAUUUAUUUAUGCAUGCAUAAAACACUCAUUUCAUGACACUAAGUUUUUUCACUUGUAAAUAUUUAUAACUUAGCAUAGACACUGGUCUCAUUUCUCUUCAUUUCAUUCAUGUACUAAUAAUAUAUUGUAACGACCCCCUCCUUGGUCGCUAUCGACGUUUGAGACUUUUAAAGAAUUUUUCGCUAAGUCCCGAACAAGUCUCAUUUAAAACUUUCGCUAAAUUCAUUAAAUACAUAUAAUCACGUGCGUAAGUGAAUAUAUAAAAAUUAAACUACUAUCUACUCCAUUCAAAAUAAUAAUAAUUCAUGUUUAUGAGUUGACAACAUUUUUCAACACCUAGUAAUUUCGUUCUAAAAUAACACUAAACAACAGAGUGACUCAGAGAGAGGUUAGGAGAUGCCUUGACCUACUCUGUGGUGGUCCGCAGGCACCGAUGGUUACAUGUUAGAUUGAUCUCUAUCUGCAAAAAGGGAAAAUAAGAGGGGUGUGAGUCUCAUAGACUCAGUGAUAAUCAUCAACCUCGUGAGUAGGCGAAGAGGGGGAACAACAUAAAGGUGGAAUGUUUAUAAACUCAAGAGUAAGAGUAGAAAAUACAUUCCAUAAAAAUGAGAGAUUUUGUUUUAUACCUUGCAAUUCUUAAAAAUAAUAAUUUCCAAGUAACCAUGUAUGAAAAUAGUUGUAUUUGGGAUGCUAAAAAAUCUUUCAACCCCAACAUCUAGUCAACAUUUAAUUGAAUGGCAAGUGAAAAAUAAAAAUUUUCAAAUAUUAAUCCCAUGCAUAGUGAAAUAAAAAUCUACAAGUGAGCAUUAUCCUCGGGUAGGUUUACUAUAGCCGUUAGGCUUACUCUUUUAGACAUCAUCACCUACUCGUGGGAACUGCCCACACCACCAGAUGAAUCGAGGCUUCAGGUUCCUCUUUUUACCUACUCGUGGGAACUAUCCACGUCACCAAAUAUAAAUCGGAGCUUCAGGUUCCCUUUUACCUGCUCGUGGGAACUACCGACGCCACCAAAUAUAAAUCGGGGCUUCAGGUCCCCUUUUACCUACUCAUGGGAACUACCCACGCCACCAAUUAUAAAUCGGGGCUUUAGGUCCCCUUUUUACAAACAAAUAUCGAUAAUCGAAAAUUUUUACUUUGUGCACAAAGACCACACUUGACCUGGUGUGGUAACAGGUCCUACCCAGAGUAUCUCGAUCACGUUAAAAUAAAAUCAUUACAAUUUAAUGCAUUAGCAAAACAUCAUAGUUUAUAAACAAUAUAAUCACAAAUCAAUGUUGUGCAUAUUCUAUCUCAAAACAUGGUAUAUUUACCAAAUUAGCAUGCUAAUUGAAAUAAAUAAUAUAUCAUCAACUUCUAUGAAUCAAACAAAGGCCAUUGGUCUAAACAUCUCACAAACUUGCAAGGUAUGAUUUUGAAGUGAAAACUAGUCAAAGGUUUGUUUCCCCAUAUUUAAAAACAUGUAGAUAUAUAUAUAUAUAUAUAUUUUAAAGAAAAGCGGAUUUAAAAUCCUUGUCACAAGCACGAACAACCUAAGGCUUUCUACCAACUCAUGCUGUCCAUAAUUUGAUCAACUAUCAAAUAUAACAUAUAUAUAUAUAUAUUAUAUUAUAAGGACAUAAAUUUUGAAAUUUAGCACCCACUCAUCUCACAAUAGUGGGACGCUACUUUGCUAUUAUUUUGCGCAUGUACUUAGCUAUUCUCUCUUCCUUUUUGUUUUUCUUCUUUUUCUUUUUUUCCUUUUGUGCCGCUGCUCAUUCGCUCAUUCUUCUUCUUUUUCUUUCUCUUAUUUCUUCUCCCUUGUCGCCGAGCUCCCUCUCUCAUUUUCCUUCUUUUUCUUUCUUUUCUUUCUUUUCUUUCUUCCCUCUCUUUCUUCUCCCUCGUCGUCGUGCUCUCUUUCUCAUUUUUCUUCUCUUUCUUUUUCUUUUUUUUUCUGCUCUGCCGUGUUCUCUCUUUCUCUUUCCUUUUUUUGCUCUGCCGUGCUCUCUCUCUUCUUUCUUCUUCUCUUUCUCUUUCUCCUCUCUCUUUUCUCUCCCUCAAGCCCCUCCACUCUCUUCCUUCUCUUUCCUUUUCUCUUUCUUUUUCUUUUUCUCCCUUGUCUUUUCUCUUUUUUUUUGUGGUAGCAUUGACUUUUCUCCUUCUCUCUCCUUUCUUCAUUCUCCAUUUUGGCCGGCCCCCCACUUUCUUCUUCUUCUCUUUGUCUUUUCUUUGUGAGUGGGGCAUCACAGUUUCCCCCACUUAAAAUAAAUUGGCCCUCGAAUUGCAUCAACAUAGAAACACUUAACAGUACAUUUAACUUUGAAACAAAUAUGGAUACUCUGCUUGCAUUUCCUCUUCUAGUUCCCAAGUCGCCUCCUCUACUGAGUGGUUUUGCCACACUACUUUCAUUAAGGAGAUGUCCUUUGAGCGAAGCCUUUUUACUUGAUAAUCCACUAUAGCUACAGGCUGUUCUUGGUACUUCAACCCAUCUUCCAACAAUAUCGUAUCAUGUUGUAUCACAUGUGAAGGGUCUCAAACAUAUUUUAUGAGCAUGGAUACAUGAAACACUGAUUAACCCCUUCAAAAUCUAGUGGUAAUGCCAAUCGAUAAGCAACAGCUCCUACGCGUUCCAGUAUUUCAAAUGGGCCAAUAUAUCGAGGACUGAGUUUGCCUUUCUUGCCAAAUCUUCGUACUCCUUUACAAGGUGACACUUUUAGAAACACAAGAUCACCUAUUUCGAACUCUAGGAGCCUACGUCUGUUGUCGGCAUAAACCUUUUGUCUACUUUGAGCAGCCAACAUUCAUUCUCGAAUUAUUUGUACUCUUUCCAUUGUUGCUUGUACCAUCUUCGUCCCUAAUAAUUUCCUUUCUCCAACUUCCAACCACCCAAUGGGUGACCUACAUUUUCGCCUAUACAAUGCCUCAAAUGGCGCCAUCUUGAUACUCGCCUGGUAAUUGUUAUUGUAUGCAAAUUCUGCCAAAGGCAAGUAUAAGUUCCAAGAAACUCCAAAAUCCAACACAAUUGCUCUUAACAUAUCUUCCAAUAUUUGGAUCGUGCGUUCUGACUGACCAUCUGUUUGAGGGUGGUAUGCUGUACUAAAGUUCAAUCGGGUCCCCAAUUCAUCUUGCAACCUCCUCUAAAAUCGACUAGUAAACUGUGGUCCCCUGUCGGACACAAUGGUCAUCGAUACGCCAUGGAGUUUAACAAUUUAAUUAAUAUAUAUUUGAGCGUAUUGUGCCACUCCAAAAUUUAUCUUGAUCAGGAGAAAAUGUGCUAACUUAGUCAACCGAUCUAUAAUUACCCAUAUGGAAUCAUAUCCUCCUUUGACUCGGGGCAAGCCUGUCACGAAGUCCAUUGCGAUAUGUUCCCAUUUCCAUUCAAGUAUCGGUAACGGUUGUAAUAAUCCUGAAGGUCUUUGAUGCUCUGCCUUCACUUGUUGGCACACCAAACAUCUCAAAACAUAUUCCCCUACAUCCUUCUUCAAUCCUUGCCACCAAUAUACGGAUCUUAAUUCAUGAUACAUCUUGGUGGCUCCCGGAUGUACUGCAUAAGUAGCAACGUGUGCUUCCUUUAAAAUUUCUUCCCUUAACCCAUCCAAGUUUGGCACAUAGAUUUGAGAUCCAUGCCUCAACAAUCCAUUAGACCUAAAACCAAACUCAGAAACUUGCUCACCCAUACUCCUCAAAAUCGUCAUUACAAAUGUAUCUUUAGCUUAGGCAUCUCGAAUUCGAUCUAUCAAUAUUGGUCGGAUCCUAAAAUGUGCCAAUAGUGCAUCUUACCCAAUGACCUCAAAUUUAACUCCUAUAUUACCCAAAUCCUGUAAUUCUUGCACUAUCGAUCUUUUCGCCACUGCAACAUGUGCCAUACUACCCAUUGACUUUCGACUCAAUGCAUCAGCUGCGACAUUCACCUUGCCGAGAUGAUAUAGUAUCGUACAAUCAUAGUCUUUUAACAAUUCCAUCCAUCUACGUUGCCUUAAAUUUAGAUCUCGCUGUUGAAAUAUAUAUUCAAACUUUUGUGAUCCGUAUAUAUUUCACAUGUUUCCCCAUACAAAUAAUGUCUCUAUAUUUUUAAGGCAAACAAGAUCGCUGCCAUCUCCAGAUCGUGUGUAGGAUAAUUUUGUUCAUGCCUCUUAAGUUCUCUUGAGGCAUAAGCGAUGACUUUACCAUGCUGCAUUAAUACACAUCCUAAUCCAACUCUUGAAGCAUCACAAUAAACAGUGUAGCCCCCUGACCCAUAUGGCAGACUUAAUACGGGUGCGAAAGUUAAACAAGCUUUUAAUGUUUGGAAAUUGUGUUCAUAAGCCUCUGACCAUUCAAAUUUUGCUCCCUUUUGAGUUAACCUCGUUAACGGAUAGGCUAUCUUAGAGAAAUCUUUCACAAAUCGUCGAUAAUACCUAGCCAAUCCUAGAAAACUCCUGAUUUUUGUAACUGUCGUGGGUCUAGCCCAAUUCUCAAUUACCUCCACUUUACUAGGAUCUACUUGUACUCCAUCCUUGGAUACAAUAUGUCCCAGAAAACCAAAACUACAAAACCAAAACGCACACUUAGGAAAUUUCGCUUACAGUCUAUGCUCCCGUAGGGUCUGUAGCAUGAUCCUUAAAUAUUGUGCGUGCUCUUCCCAACUUCUCGAGUAUAUUAGAAUGUCAUCAAUAAAGACGGCCACAAAUCUAUCUAGGUAUGCUCGAAACACCCUAUUCAUCAAAUCCAUGAACGCAGCAGGAGCAUUCAUCAAUCCAAAAAACAUCACAAAAAAUUCAUAAUGUCCAUACCUCGUACGGAAUGCGGUUUUGGGUAUGUCAUCUUUCCUGAUCCUUAAUUGAUGAUAUCCAGAACUUAAAUCAAUCUUCAAGAAGCAUUGAGCCCCCUGCAGCUGAUCAAACAAAUCAUCAAUUCUAGGAAGCGGAUAUUUAUUUUUGAUCGUGACUUUAUUAAGCUACCGGUAAUCUAUACAUAGCUUGAGACUCCCAUCUUUUUUCUUCACAAACAACACUCGCUCUCCCCAAGGUGACACACGAGGGCGAAUAAAGCCCUUGUUAAUUAAAUCUUGUAGUUGUUCCCUUAACUCCUUUAACUCUGCCGGGGCCAUUCGGUAUGGAGGCAUCGAUAUUGGUUGCGUUUUUGGAAUCAAAUCGAUACAAAAUUUGAUUUCCCUUUGGAGAGGUAAUCCAAGCAAUUCUUUUGGAAACACAUCUUCAAAUUCAUUUUCUACAGGUGUAGCUGCUAAAUUUCCUUCUUCACUUUGUACUUAUUUAGUAAUUGUAGCCAUCACACUAUGAACCAAAUGGCUGUUGUGACCAUAACUAACAAAUGACGGCUCUCCAAGAAAUUUAAACUUCACCAACUUACGAUAACAAUCUACAUUAGCGUAGCAAGAUGCCAACCAAUCCAUUCCCAAUAUCACGUAGAAUCCUAAUAUUGUCAUUAACACUAAGUCCACCUAAGUGUCCCUAUCUUUAAUUUGGACCAAACAAGAACGAAACACAUACUCCGCAACAUAUGAAUCUUCCAACGGGGUGGUUACUACUAACGGUUCAUCCAUAUAUUCAUAAUGCUCGCCUAAUUUAGGCAUGAAAUUUGAAGUCACAAAGAAUGUGUGGAUCUUGGGUCAAAUAAAACUAAUGCGUCGUAACCACAAAUGAAAAGAUUACUUGUUACCACUGCAUUUGAGACAUGAGCAUCUUGUGGUGUCAAAGCGAACACUCUAGCUUGUCCCCCUCCAGAAGCACCAUGUUGAGUUGACCUUGCCAAUCUACCUUGUGACGAGGAAGCUACCCCCUUCUUUUAUCCAUUUUGACAUUUCUAGUUGGUGUGGUAGCAAAAUCGAGUCGUAUUGAGCCACGAGCCAUCUCCUGAUUAUGUCUAUGGGUAGGACAAUCCCUCUUCAGAUGACCAAUUCCCCCACACUCAUAGCAAAACACAGUCAUUUGGUUACAUGGCCCUGUAUGAAUCUAACCACAAAAAGUACAAAAAAGACCCCACUGACCACUCUGUCUAGGAUUUGAAUUAGUCAUCCCACUACUCAUAGCCCGUCUGUAAUUAACCCCACUAAAAUCACUGCUACUGAGGGACUACGAAAUUGAAAAUUUCUUCUUUGAUUCGGUGGACUGGAGAAUGCUGAUCCUCUGAGUAAGUUACCAUCCCUUCGACCUUGUUGGCCAGCUAUAUUAACAUAUUUACCCCUACUAGGGUCUCUAUAUCUGGAAGAUCCUUCACCUCGAUUUCUUUUACUCCUCUAUCUUUCAACCCCAACCUCUAUAUGUCCUGCCUCGAUUUUUCUAGCAGCAUCAACUACCUUGGGAUAGGAUGUAAAUCUCUGAGAGAUUAAAAUUCUGUAUAUUGUCUUAUGUAACUCCUUAAUAAACCUCUUGAUCCUCUCCCUUUCAGUCUGAACCAGAUACAGAGCAUACCUCGACAACUGAGUAAACUGGAUGUCAUAAUCUGACACUGUCAUCCUAGGCGCCUACACUAAAGUUUCAAACUCCUGUGCCUUAGCGUCUCUCACGCUUUCAGGUAAAAAUUUGUCCAUGAAAGCCUGUGUGAACUCUUCCCAAGUAAGUGGAGCAAAACCAGGUGGUCUACAGCGCUUGAGCGUAGUGAACCAUAUCUACGCUACCUUCGUCAAUCUAAAGCCUGUCAACUGAACUGCCAGAUGACUAGAACAACCCAAUGCAAUACAAAUUUUGUCCAUCUCAUCUAAAAAUACUUGUGGGUCCUCUAUUAAUUUAGCACUCGAAAAGGAAGGGGGUUUCAAUUUCAUAAAUUCACCUAGAGUUACCAUGACAUUUCCUCGAUCUAUUUCCUCAUAAGGUUGAUAAUCUAAAUCUUUAAAACUAGAACCCAUUGUGUCAUUUGGUUGAUACACUCCCUGUCUCCUUAACUCUGCAAACUACUGGGUUAAUCCUCGCAAUCCAGCCACUAUCUCCUCUAAGGUGGCAGUGCGUACCUCAAGAUAAUCACCUUCCGUAUCCCUAGAUUUGGUACCAGGUCUCCUCUCAUUGGAACUUUGACUAUCUUGAGGCAUGAUGAUUUGACCUCUAGGUCCACCUCUCCCACUACUUCUAGAGAAAGAUGCACGUGGUCCUUCCAUAGCGCCAUCUGGGGCAUUAAACCCUCUAAUUCCUCUUAAGGCAACUCGUGUCCUGGGUGGCAUCUCGGUACCUAAACAGUAACAAACACCCUUCAAAUAACUAUUAAAAUUUAUUAAUAAAGGUGGCUUACUAAGAUUAGGAAAUUCGUGUAGCCUCUUAUCCAUAAUCUAUGUUGCAGUCACGAACCAUGGAUAAGACUCUACACUACCCCUGACACUCCGCUGACAACACAACAAAUAUUAAGAUUUUUCUAAACCUAGGGCUUUGAUACCAAUAUUGUAACGACCCCCUCCUUGGUCGUUACCGACGUCUGAGACUUUUAAAGAAUUUUUGCUAAGUCCCGAACAAGCCUCAUUUAAAACUUUUGCUAGAUUCAUUAAAUACAUAUAAUCACGUGCGUAAGUGAAUAUAUAAAAAUUAAACUACUAUCUACUUCAUUCAAAAUAAUAAUAAUUCACGUUUAUGAGUUGACAACAUUUUUCAACACUUAGUAAUUUCGUUCUAAAAUAACACUAAAUAGCGGAGCGACUCAGAGCGAGGCUAGGAAAUGCCUUUACCUACUCUAUGGUGGUUUGUAUGCACCGAUGGUUACACGUUAGACUGAUCUCUAUCUGCAAAAAGGGAAAAUAAGAGGGGUGUGAGUCUCAUAGACUUAGUGAUAAUCGUCGACCUUGUGAGUAGGCGAAGAGGGGAAACAACAUAAAGGUGGAAUGUUUAUAAACUCAAGAGUAAGAGUAGAAAAUACAUUCCAUAAAAAUGAGAGAUUUUGUUUUAUACCUUACAAUUCUUAAAAAUAAUAAUUCCCAAGUAAACAUGUAUGAAAACAAUUGUAUUUGGGAUGCUAGAAAAUCUUUCAACCCCAACAUCCAGUCAACAUUUAAUUCAAUGGCAAGUGAAAAAUAAAAAUUUUCAAAUAUUAAUGCCAUGCAUAGUGAAAUAAAUAUCUACAAGUGAGCAUUAACCUCGGGUAGGUUUACUAUAACCCUUAGGCUUACGUUCUCAUACAUCAUCACCUACUCGUGGGAACUGCCCACACCACCAGAUGAAUUGGGGCUUUAGGUCCCCCUUUUUACCUACUCGUGGGAACUACCUACGUCACCAAAUAUAAAUCGGAAUUUCAGGUCCCCCUUUACCUACUCGUGGGAACUACCAACGCCACCAAAUAUAAAUCGGGGCUUCAUGUCCCCCUUUUACAAACAAAUAUCGAUAAUCGAAAAUUUUUACUUUGUGCACAAAGACCACACUUGACCUGAUGUGGUAAUAGGUCCUACCCAGAGUAUCUCGAUCACGUUAAAAUAAAAUCAUUGCAAUUUAAUGUAUUAGCAAAACAUCAUAGUUUAUAAACAUUAUAAUCACAAAUCAAUGUUGUGCAUAUUCUAUCUCAAAACAUGGUAUAUUUACCAAAUUAGCAUGCGAAUUGAAAUAAAUAAUUUAUCAUCAACUUUUAUGAAUCAAACAAAGGCCAUUGGCCUAAACAUCUCACAAACUUGCAAGGUAUGAUUUUGAAGUGAAAACUAGUCAAAGGUUUGUUUCCCCAUAUUUAAAAGCAUGUAGAUAUAUAUUUAUAUAUAUAUUUUAAAGAAAAGCGGAUUUAAAAUCCUUGUCACAAGCACGAACAACCUAAGGCUUUCUACCAACUCAUGCUGUCCACAAUUUGAUCAAUUAUCAAAUAUGACAUAUAUAUGUAUAUAUAUUAUAUUAUAGGGACAUAAAUUUUGAAAUUUAGCACCCACUCACCUCACAAUAGCGGGAUGCUACUUCGCUAUUAUUUCACGCGUGUACUUAGCUAUUCUCUCUUCUUUUUCGAUUUUCUUCUUUUUUUUUCUUUUUGUACCGCUGCUCAUUCUCUCAUUCUUUUUCUUUUUCUUUCUCUUAUUUCUUCUCCCUUGUCAUCGUGUUCCCUCUCUCCUUUUCCUUCUUUUUCUUUCUCUUCUUUCUUCCUUCUCUUUCUUCUCCCUCUUCGUCCUACUCCCUCUCUCUUUUUUCUUUUCUUUUUUUUCUACUCUGCCAUGCUCACUCUCUUCUUUCUUCUUCUCUUUCUUUUUUUCUUUUCUUUCUCUUUCAUUUUUCUUAUCUGCCGUGCUCUCUCUCUCAUUUCUUAUUCUCUUUCUCUUUUUCUUCUCUUUCUCCUUUCUUCUUUCUCUUCUUCGGGCCCCCCACUCUCUUCCUUCUCUUUCAUUUUCUCUUUCUCCCUUGUUUUUUCUCCCCUUUUUUUUUGACAGCAUUGACUUUUCUUCUUCUCUCUUCUUUCUUCCUUCUCCAUUUUGGCUGGCCCCUCACUCUCUUCUUCUUCUUUUUGUUUUUUCUUUAUGAGUGGGGCAUCAUAGUAUCUAAUUCAUGUUUAUGAUUACAAAAGGUUUUCCAAAAAGCUCGACCACCUAAACCAAGUGAUCAACAUGUCCAUUAUACUCGUCGACGAAUGAAAAGCAUGGAAGAGGAACAAAGGAAGUGAUUGGAUAGGAUGGAAAAUGCUCAAGAAGAUAUGAAAGAACAGUUAUAAAAAAUAAUGGAGUCAAUAAUGAGUUUAAGCAAUGGAAAAAUAGUGGUUGGAGAAUCGGUCCCAACAGAAAACCAAAACAUUGAUAAUUUGAGAAAUGAUCAACCUUGCCUGCCAGGAUAUGUUCCAUCCCGUGCAUAGAUAUCUCAAGGGAUUCACUCGCAAAUGGCACCACCUGUUGGAGGAUUUCCUUAUGCUUAUUACAACUUCUCACCUUUAUUGGGUCCUCAGCAAGUCCAUGGGCAAUUUAGAUCAAACUUAGGAGUGAAUCCUGCUAAACCAAUACAAGUCUCUGAUUUAGAUGAUCUAAAAGAGCAAGAGAGGUUGAAGAGGAACUCAUUCAAGAUAGUAGUAAAUGACAAGGAUGAGAAAAAAAUAUGAUUUGCUGGAAGAACGCCUCCGUGCUGUGGAAGGAGUGGACAGAUUCAAAACUAUGGAUGCAACUGAGUUAUGUUUGGUACCUGAUAUGGUUAUUCCUGCCAAAUUUAAGGUGCCAAAAUUUGAGAAAUAUGAUGGGACAAAAUGCCCAAUGGUACACAUUACCAUGUAUUGUCAAAAAAUAGCUACACAAUCGCAUGAUGAUAAGUUGUUAAUUCACUUUUUUCAUGAUAAACUACCUAAAUCAAUUGCAAGAUGGUAUGUACAGCUUGAUCGGGGUCAUGUUAAAUCUUGGAAAGAUUUGGCAAAAGCUUUUAUGGCACAAUACAAGCAUGUGGCUGAGUUAGGUCCUGACCGCUUAUCACUCUAGACCAUGGAAAAAAGGACUAGUGAGAGUUUCAACGAGUAUGCCCAAAGAUGGAGAGAUGUAGUAGCAUAAGUUCAACCACCCCUGACAGAUAAGGAGAUGAUUGUAUUGUUCAUAAAUACACUUAGGGCUCCUUUUUAUGAAAGAUUGAUUGGCAAUGCCACCAAAAAUUUUACAAAUCUAGUCUUAUCAAGUGGAAUAAUAAAAGGAGCAAUCAAGAAUGGUAAAAUUGAAAGGAACUAUCAAGCCCAGCCCUAUAAUAUACUUGCCAUGUCAUUCAUGUAUUUGACAACAUACUUGCAUACUUGAAUACCUCGAAAAAAUCGUUAAAAGUCGAUAGUGUACCUAGUGGUACAAUUAAGUUGAUUUAAGCCUCGAACUAGUUCAAAUAAAGAUUUUAAGAUGCAAUUGAGAGUUAUUGAAUCUUAGAAUGACUUAAUAUGGUGAUUCGAAGUUCGGGGAUUGAUUUGGAGUUAAAUUGAAAUUUUCAUAACGUAGAGGUAAAAUGGUCAUUUUUCCACCCAAGGGAAAAUUUGGGAUGGUGGAUGAAAUUUUGAUCAAGUUUGACUAUUUGGAACAUAAUUUGAGCUUGAGAAGUGAAAAAUUUUAAUUCUGACAAUUUUUCGAGCAUAAAGGCAAAAAGGUUAUUUCACGUGUCCACAAGGACGUAAUUAGAAUUUUUGAAAAUUUACACCACCUUGACACUUGUCAAACCAAUGAAAUUCAUUUUAUACUUUGGAUAAUUGAAGGAUUUUAUGUGGUGGAGAAGAAAUGCUUAAUUAUUAAGUUUUAUGUAUGGACCAAUCACAUGGUGACAAGUGUCAAGCUUUAAUAUUAUUAUUUUUUCUUUAAUAAACACAACUAAAAUUCUCCCAUCUCAUUUCUCUUGGCCGGCCAAAGCAAGAAGAAAAGGGAAAAAGCGUAGAACAAACCCUAGAGAAGAAAAUCAAGAGAAAAUUCAUUGGAUUUCAAGGAAUUAAGCAAGUAAAGGUAAAAUUUCUUAAUUCUAGCUUGUGAUCUACCUUUCCUAUGCAUUCUUUUUCAAUUACCAUGGUUAAAAUUCAAGAUCUCAUGAAGGAUUCAUGGCUGACCGAAUUUAGGGAGAGAAGAUUUGAUGAUUUAUUUGGUUAGAUUUCAAGGUAUCUUAGUGUUUUUAGUUGUUUGGUGAUGUUUAGCAUGAAAAACAAGCAAAAAAUUUCAUGCCCUUCACCCACACUCCUUGGCUGAAAUUUUCAAGAGAGAAAUUGGAUAAUGGACUUUGAUGAAUUUCAUGCUAUUUAGGUGUUUUUAGUUGUUUUAUGAUGUAAGGUGUAAAAAUCAAGCAUGAAAAUUACAUGUUCUACACUAAACCUUCAAUGGUCGAAUUUUACAAGGAAGAUAUUGAUGAUGGAUUUUUGUGAUAUUACGUAUUAUUUAACUUGUAAUUGAUGACUUGGAGUGUUGGAAGUGGAAUCAAGUUAAUUGGAGUUGAAUUGGAUGUAUUGGCCAAUUAACCGGUGUAUAGAUCGAAUUAGGCCAAUACCAUUUUAUUUCGAUAUAUAAUUGAAGCUAUGUAGAACACCAUAUUUAGAUAAUAAUCCGAACAUUUCGCAUCCUAUUUCAUGCAUUCAUAUAGAGCCUAAAUUAGUUUUAUAACGGUUUAGUACAAAUUUAGUAAAUUGCUUGUUGUGCAUUAUGUUUAGGUAGUGAAACUUUCGAUAAGGGUAAGGAGAUUGUACCCGAAGAUUGGGACUAGGAGUACUUCGACUCUCGAUAUUAUAAGUAACCUUAUUAUCAUCUUAAUUAUCUAAAGUAGUUUUUAUUCAUUUUUGUGAUUUUAUAGAAAAAUGAGUUUAAAUGGUAAAUCCUUAUGUUUUAUAUGUAAAAUGUGAUUAAAUGAAAUGAGUUUUAUAAAUCAUUUUGAAAUUGAAUGAUGAUUUUAGAAAUUGAGUAAAUGGAGACUGUUUGAUUGUGUUGUAAAUUUAUGGCUUGAAUUGAAUGGCUUAUGGUGAUAUUAGCAUGAAUGGCUAAAUUGGAAAUUGUGUUGGAAUUGUAUGAACUAUUUAUUUUGCCUUAACAAGCUUGGUAGUAAUAUAAUUGCCAUGUCAUGCUGUCGAAACUUUUAUUGAUUUGGUGGGAUAUUGAUUAGUCACUACAGUGGCGGGUUUCCGUGGACCAACCUAUUAGAGAAGGGCACGAUAAACCCGAUUAUAUUUUACCUUGGUAUGAGAGGCGCAGAGGGUAUCUUCUGAGGUAAAGCUUUAGAGUUCACUACACGCUAAACCGCCACGUGAGGGUGAACUCAGCCAACGCCAAGGAACGGCUAUGCUUUUAAACGUAAAAAUGUGUUUUAUGCGUAUAUGAACUUUUCUUUAACAGCCUUGGUGGACUCGGUUGGAUAUCCCGACCAAGGUAUCCUCGAGAAUGAUUUUUGGCACGAGCCAAAUUUUUAAGAAAUUCAUAAGCCAUGUUAAUUAUUUGAGUGAAAUGAAAUUAUUUUAUUUAGUUAAAAUGAGUUUGAAACGUUAUGAAUCAUAGUACGAUGAACUAUUUUAAGUUGUCUCCAUUUACUCGACUUUAGAUAUUUUAGAUAAUGUUUGUUUACUCACUGAGUUUAUAUAAACUCACCACCCUCAUUUCCACUCAUUUCAGGAUCAGGACAGUCCGUAAAUAGCUGAUUACGUCGAGGAUUAUUAUUGGACUUGCCUCCUCAGAAAUUGUAGGUCCACAGCUUUUGUUACCUUUGGUCAUUCGGGAGCCCACACGUCAUUGUAAAUUAAAUUACAUACUCUGGUUAUCUGUGUUACUGUAUGUAUGGAUUUAUUUUGCUUUUACGCUACAAAAAUUAUUUACGUAGAGUUCUAUAAAUAUUGUUUUAUAAGAAAAUGAAAUAUUUCAUUUAAUAUUUUUAUUUUAUUCUAUUAGCUACAAUUUCACCCUAAAUGAAUGUUUUAGACAUAAAAACUUGUUUUUAGUUAUGAAAUGUGCAUUUUCCCUAUAUAUUAUAUUUUCAGUAGGUUUCAAAAUUUUUGAGAAAAAUGACCAAAAUGCCAUUGUGAGACAGAAAAUAUUUUUUAUUAUUGUUUUAAUUUGAAAAUAGCUUAUAAUCUUUUAAAAUAUGAUAUUUAGUAAUUAUUGCUCACAGGGGAGGUGCGAAAACUGAUAUUAAGCCUUGCGAGAUUUCGAUUGGCAUUCAAGAUAAUGAAUGUCUAUCGGGACAUCGCGGUGAUUGUCACGGGCUCGAGGAGAGUACCAGGUUGUGAUAGGAACGAAACCAUUAGCUCAAAGAGAAGGACUAUAUUUAAGAGAAAGGACGGGGAUGUAUAAGCAAUUGCUUAUUGUUAGUUAAAAUUCUACUACGCAAUAUAUGUAUCGAAUAGAUAGUCUAUAAGCAAGGAGAGUAUCGAUCUCAUAGAGAAUUGAUCUAAAAUUUUACUAAGUACUAAAAUUAUAACAAUUUAAUCUUAUCCAAACAAUCAAAAUGAAUUAAUUAACUAAAACUAAUUAACCAAAAUUUAAACUAAAAAGAAAAAUCAAAGUAAUAAUAACGUCAAUAAAAAUCAAAUCAAACAAGCCUAUGAUUGCAAUAUCCCUUACACUUCAUCUAAAUCUUACCUCUCUUCCUUAACUUAUUUCAAUGGGUUGAAUUGCUAACCUAAAAUCUUAAAUUAUUUAUAAAGGUCUCCCGACUUGUCUUAUAAAAAUAUCUAUUUUAAGCAAAACACUGUAUCCCUAAGUGAAUUGAAAUUAAAACAGGUUUUGUCCCAAUUCUGUUUUUUUGGUACAGUACUUUCAUUUCUAUAAAGAUUUAGACCAUCUUUCGAUUAGAACUAGGCAAAGUGGCAAACAUCAAAGUUGUAGCGCUACCUCUUAACUUUCUAAUGGUCUAAAAAUCAUGUCAUUUGGACUAUUGUAGUGGGAGAUAUGCUCAAAAAUCUAAACAUAUGCAAAUACAGCACCAGUCCAGUAUGCACCUUUCUUCACUAAUUAAAAUUAUUUUUAAUCCUACUCCUACAAAAACAUAAAAAUAAAUAUAAAUAACAUAAAACUAACAUUAUUAACUUAAAAUAAACAUUUAAACAUAAAUUAAACUAAAUUAAUAAAAUAACUAAAAACAUCUAAAUUUGAUUCUAAAUCUAGUCUAACUUUGACUAAUUAGGUAUUUAAUCUCCCGUUGAAUAUAUGUGUUUGAUGCACUCAUCAAAUACCCCCAAACUUGAAUCUUUGCUUGUCCCCAAGCAAGAGGGAAAAACUAAAAAUAAAACAACUAGCUAAAGAUGCAAUUCACCAAAGCAUGAAUUCCUUUUUCUUUUUUUUUCAAAAAUUAUCCCACAAUUUUGACUAAAGGUGAAACAUAGAUAAUCAUUAAAUUCAUGCUCAAUUCAACUGCAAGUUCAUUCUUAAAUGAAUUUCACAAUAUUUGUGUGUGUGUGAAUGAUCUUUUUACAAGAAUAUCAUACAAUCUAGAUGAGAUUAUGCCAAUGCAAAAUUUAGCUAAGUGCUAGAAUUUCAUAGGUUUGCUUUUUGUCUCCAAUAAUGUAGACUAACACGUAUUCAAAGAUCAAUAGGUCUUUAUUAAGCUCAUAAUGUGAUGCUAGGGUCUAGGUAUGAUAAAGGAUAUAAUGUGACUCAAUAUCACCCUAAGCACAUAAUUAUUUUAGGACCUAUAGAGCUUUUAUUUUCCUUUACUAAGUACACUAUUUUUCAUCAAUUUUUUUUCUUUUUGUUCAGCACUUCUUUUUUUUUUAUCACAAUUCCGCACCCUCAAACUUAUUUCUUCUUUUAUUGUAGGUAGUGGGGUGAAUUCUAACAAUUUUUAAAUUUUUUUUAGCAAUUCCACCUUUCUACCUUUUUCAACAUUGAGCUCAAUCUAUAUUUCCCAAAACAAUAUACAUGCUUAGGAGUAGAGAUUGCAAAAUUGGAAUUUUGUUUUAAGGCUAAGCUUAUUAUCAUAUGGCUAAAUAAAGAAAGGGAAAAUUAGGCUCAGAGAGGUAUAUUAGGGAUAAAAGUUUAACAAGGUUAGCUUGAAAGGAUCAAAUGUUCCAAAGAUGGCCUAAAUCAUGUUCCAUUCUAAGUGUUAUCUAGAAUUUCACCUUAAGAGAGAAUCAAACAAAUUCUAGAAUCCUUAACUUCACUAUACCUUUUUUAACAUAAACUUCCUCUAAAUCACAUGAUAAUUCUAAGUAAAAGAUUUAAGGUAUAAAUUAUUGAAAAUUGCAUUCUAUAAUGAAACUAACAAAAGAACAUCACAAUCACUCAAUUCAUGUCUAUGUCAAACCAAGAAUCAAAAUAGCAAGAUAAUCAAAAUAUCAUCCUAGAAUUGGUAAUAUCAUGGCAUAGGCAAUUUUCAUCUCAAGCAUUCCUAAAAUAAAUCCUAAAAAAAAGAAAAUAAACUAACCUAAAAACAUCACAAAAACUAAUAACAAUAAAACCUUCCCUUAACUUAAAUUGCACAUUGUCCUCAAUGUGAAAAGCUAGAAAGAAAUAAUAAGGAAAUUAAACUCCCUUAUCAAUGGUGGUAGUGCCUUGAAAGCUCUAAUUUUCUUUCUCCUCAUCUUUAUGCUUUAUAAAUCUACAUACACAACAAAACAAGCUAAGGAAAGGUUAUAACUACUUAUUUACAUAGAAAACAAAAAGUAACUAAAAUAACAACUAAAUCUAAAAUGAUAUAGCUUGGGUUGCCUCCCAAGAAGCGUUUGUUUAUAGUCAUUAGCUUGACUUUGGUUGAGGUCUUCAUUCACCCUUUACGGAGGUUUGAGUUUGCACGAAAAAAGUUUGAGGUGUGAAAGUAGUCUCCUCCUAAGAUGAGGUUGUAGUGAUUUUAACUCAAGAUUUGGUGCUUGCUCAACCCAAGUGGUGGAAUAAAUUGACUUUUGCCCAACUUCUCAAAUUGAGUUCUUCUUGAAUAAUGCACUUUUGGUAUAGCCUUCAAAACCUGUGUAACAUUUGUGAGUUCUUCAUUAUUCUCUUCUGUUGUUGCAUCUUAAACCAAACAAGUUUCAAGGAAUUUCUUUGGAUUUUCCAUAUCAAUAGCCUCUUAAGGUAACUUAUCAACUAUAUCUAGAAAAGGAAUGGGAGGCACAUAUGGCUUGACCUGUGGUGGUGUAGAUACUUCCUCCUCUUGCUUAAUUUUUUCAUAUUGAACUUGAUUUUUGAAAGUAUUACCUUGAUCUACUUUAUCUCCAUCACCUGCCACAUUCUUGCCAUUUACCUCAUCAAGAUGCUUACCAUAUUUUGCUUUUCUAGGAUUAAGCUCAGUGUCAUUUGGUAAAAUUUCUUGAGGUCUAUUGUUGAUGUAAUUAGCAAGUUGGCCCAAUUGAGUCUCAAGAUUUUGGAUUGAUUCUACUGGACUUUGAAUGAUCACAUCAUUCUUUGUCAUGAAUUGCAUUAAUAUAUUCUUUAAAGUUAGCUUAUUCUCAAGUAUAGAGGCUUUAACUUGUGACUAAAAAUCAUGCUGGAAAACAGGCUGCGAUGAAUAUGUAAGACCCUGAUCAUUACUCCAUGAAAAAUUUGGGUGAUUCAACCAUGAGUUAUAAUUGUUAGAGUACGAAUUGUUUUUCUGCCCAUUGAAGCUUCCAUCAAAUUGCAUUGAUUCAUAAUAAGUUGGACAACAAUCACUUGAAUGCCUAUCUCCACAAAGCUCGCGUGCCAUAAAAGGACUUUAAAAAACAUUAACACCCCAAUUGUCAAUUAUUUGAGACAAAGCAUCUACUUGGGCGACCAAAGCACUGAUAGCCAAUUUAUAAUCACUAGCAACCCUCCUGGCACAAAUUGUUCAGAUGACCAUUGAUAGUUAUAAUAAUUCAUCACCUUAACCAAACGUACCUGAAAAUAAAAUUAAAAAAAUUUGAAUUAAGACUAAAUUUUCAUGGUAUUAGUAUUGGUAAAAAUUCUAGAAACAAUUCCCCGGCAAUGCCGCCAAAAACUUGUCAGUUAAAAUUCUACUACGUAAAUAUACACAUCGAAUAGAUAGUAUAUAAGCAAGCAAAGUAUCGAUCCCACAGAGAAUCGAUCUAAAAUUUUACUAAUUACUAAAAUUAUAAAUAUUUAAUUUUAUACAAACAAUCAAAGUGAAUUAAUUAAGUAAAACUGAUUAACUAAAAUUUAAACUAAAAAAAUAAAUCAAAGUAAUAAUAACUUCAGUAAAAAUCAAAUCAAACAAGCCUAGGAUUACAAUAUCCCUCACACUUCAUCUAAAUCUUACCUCUCUUUCUUAACUUAUUUCAAUAGGAUGAAUUGCUAACCUAAAGUCCUCAAUUAUUUAUAAAGGUUUCUCGACUCCUCUUAUAAAAAUAUCUAUUUUAACCAAAACACUGUAUCCCUAUGUGAAUUGAAAUUAAAACAGAUUCAUUAAGCUCAGGCUCUAAUCUGGCUACAUAUGGCCUAUAGGUAUAUCCUUAUAUGCAAAUCAAUUAUUAUAAUCAUAUGUUAUCUCAAUUUUAGUCUAUACUAAACUCCCUUUCCCAAGUUCAUUUAGGUUCCUAAAUUAAUUUAAUUGGUAAUCAUGCAAUUAAAAGCAUUAAGAAGAAAUCGAAAUAAACAAUUCAAAUCCCAUUAAAGAUAAGCAAGAAAGAGAUUAAAAAUUUAGAUUACAUGUGAGUUCAAUUGCAAUCCUAGAAAAAUAGUUUAGUUCAUAAUGUUUAAUAAAAACUUCAUCCAAAGAAAAUUAGCCAUUAAUCCAAGUCCAAGAAAAUAAGAAAAACACAAAAGUAGAGAAAGAAAACUAAUAGUUGAAGCUUUGUGAUCUUGAUUCUCCCUCAAAUUAUCUUUCUUUCUUGCUUUGUUUUUGGCUUUUUUUCUCCAAAGAAAUGACUUGCUACCUCCCCCUAGAAACUUCUGAUAAAGCCCCUUAAAUAGCCUUCAAAAGCCUUAACUUCUAAAAUCCCAUAAGUUUGUCAUUUUUGGAAAAUAAGGUGAGCAUCGCGGCUCUCAUUUCCCAGAGCCGCGGCUUUCAAAGGUUCUGUCUCAAUUCUGUUCUUUUGGUGCAGUACUUUAACUUUGACAAAGAUUUAGACCACCUUCCAAUCAGAACUGGGCAAAGUGGUAAAAUCAACAGCCUUUUAGCUUUCUAAUGGUCCAAAAAUCAUGUUAUUUGGACUUUUGUAGUGAGAGAUGUGCUUAAGAAACUGAAACAUAUGCAAACAGAGCACCAGUCCAUUAUGCACCUUUAUUCACCAAUUGAAAUUAUUUUUUAUCUUACUUCCACAAAAACAUGAAAAUAAAUAUAAAUAACAUAAAACUAACAUUAUUAACUUAAAAUAAACAUUUAAACAUAAAUUAAACUAAACUAAUAAAAAAACUAAAAAAAACCUACAUCCAGUCCUAAAUCUAGUUUAACUUAGACUAAUUCAGUAUUUAAUCUCUCAUUGAAUAUAUGUAUUUGAUGCACUCAUCACUUAUAUUGGCCAACAGACACACAAUUUCAAUCCGUACCAUCCAUACCCUCUUUAUCAACCUUUCUAUCCAAGUAUAGACAACAUUGCCCAAAACUCGUAUAUCUAUCAACCUGGCCCACAUUUUUGGCUAACAACUCUGAUAAUGGUCAGAAAGGAUCUAGAACUACCCAAGAAAAAACUCAAUUCAAUCCCACCCCAGUUUCUUACACUGCCCUGUUACCGUAACUUAUUGAAAAUCGACUUCUUGCUCGUACCCCCAUAGAACCACUCAAACCUCCUUUUCCAAAGUGGUAUGACCAGAAUGAACAAUGCGAUUAUCAUUUUAGGAUUCAAGGACACUCUAUAAAGAGCUAUAUUGCAUUGAAGCAAAAGGUCCAUGCACUCAUUAAGGUAAGACUCAUAAAUUUUGCUAAAAAAAAUAAUUCAAAGGUUAAUGGGAAUCCCCUACCUGACCAUGGAAGGCAGAUAGUAAAUGCCAUACAUGAAUAGAGGAUAGGAAGGUUGAAAAGAAGUGUCGAUGAGAUUCAAACACCAAUGGAUAGAGUGUUCGAGUCUGUGGUCAAAGUAAAUGUCAUCUCUUUAGAACUAAUAGACACAAAAGAAUCAGAGCAUAAUCUCAAUUUUUCUUGCAAAUUCCAUAUGGGUGCCAUUAGACAUUCUAUCCAAAAUUGUGAUAGCUUUUGUUGCAAGUUGCAAAAGUUGAUGGAUUUCUCAAUAAUUGAAUUUUAUGUAGAAUGUGAAAAGGAUUUGAUUGGAACCAUGAAUGAAGGUUCCCUAACUGAAGUGGCAUCAAGUUCAUCUGGCAUGAGUAAACCCAAGCCUCUCACUAUCUUUUAUGAAGAAAAAGGGAGUUCAAUGAAUAAUAAGCUCCCUAUUAUUGUUCAAAAUAGUAUAACUAUUGAAAUUCCUAGCCCAUUCCUAUACAAGAGCGAGAAGGUUGUUCCUUGGAAUUAUGAACGUAAUAUUUUAGGUACAACCUCCCUUAUCGCCCAAGUAUAUUCUCCAGAUCUAACUGGCGUGGGAGGUGUAACGCGAAGUGGGCGAUGUUACUCUCUUGAGAUAGCAGAAAAGGUAAAAAAAAAAAUCCAAACAUGAAAAAGAAGAUUCAAAAGAAGCAAAUACCCUUCCCAAGGACCAAACUACUGAACCUAUAGUUGCUCAGAAUAAUAAGGUCAAAAAGCUUGUCACGGAGAAAGAAGCAGGCGAGUUCCUCAAAUUCAUCAAGCACAAUGAGUGUAGUGUAGUAGCGUAAUUAACAAGAAUGCCUGCUCGCAUCUCGCUGUUAUCUUUGCUUUUGAAUUUAGAAGCACAUAGGAAUGCACUACUCAAAGUCUUGAAUCAAGCUUACGUGGCUCAUGAUAUAUCAGUUGAAAAGUUAGACCAUAUUGUGGGAAAUAUCAUAGUAGGGAACUUCAUUGCAUUUAGUGAUGAGGAAAUUCCAUCAGGUUGUCGAGGAAGUAACAAGGCUCUCUACAAAACCAUCAAGUGCAAGGACCAUGCCUUACCCAGAGUGCUGAUUGACAAUGGUUCGGCCCUGAAUGUCAUGCCUCGUUCUACAUUGACAAGGUUGCCAAUUGAUAUGUCUUAUAUGUGGGCCAGUAACAUGAUUGUAAGAGCUUUCGAUUGAACUAGACGAGAAGUGGUAGGUGAUAUUGAAAUACCAAUGAAAAUCGAUCCCUGCAUCUUUGAUAUACAAUUCCAAGUGAUGGACAUUACCCUAUCUUAUAAUUGCCUGCUAGGGAGCCCGUGGAUCCAUAUGGCAAGAGCUGUACCAUUUUUUCUGCAUCAAAAAGUUAAAUUCAUAAUUAAAGGCCAAUUGAUAAGCAUCUCUAUAGAGGAAGACAUAUUAGCAUCUAAUCCUCAUUUGCUCCCUAUGUAGAAGUGACGGAAGAAGUCCCUAAAUGCUCUUUCAGAUCCUUCGAGUUUGUUAAUGCUACUUAUGUGAGAGAAAGGGUAAUGAUACCAACUUUUCGCUUGUCAAGAGCAACUAAAAUGGAAGUUAAACAAACAGUGGGAAAAGGGUGACGUGAUGGUUUAAGGCUAGGAAAGAAUCUACAAGGAAUUAGUCGGUUUUUGAUUUGGAUCAAGAAUGAGAAAAGGUUUGGCUUGGGGUACAAACCCACCAAAAAAGAAAGAAGGAAGUUGGCAACCUAAAAGAAAAUCGAAAGGAUGGUUUAGCUAAAAGAAAAAUAGGAAAAUUUUAAGAAAAAGAUAAUUCCAUACUUGUACGAGACUUUUUGCUCCACAGGUUACAUUCAUCUUGAAGCGUCGAUUAAGAUUAAUGGGGUUUUGCAAGAGAUAUUUGAUGAGCUAUCAAUUAACAUGAUCAAGGAUGAAGAUCCUAAAGAGAAGGUCCCUAUGGUGUAUCUAGUAUCGCUAGGAGAAAAGCUAACCAAUUUGACAGUCAUGGAGUUACUUGUCAUCUUUAAGUCUUUGAAAAUAUAAUGAACAAUCUCACCUAAAUGCCUAUGCCCAAGAGCAUUAGAAGUAAUUUCUUGCUUAAAUGGGGCUUUCUGUUACUUUAAUCAUUCAAAUAAAUGACAAAGCAUGAUGUGUUUUGUUGUUCAUCAACCUUUUUUUUUUUGCACGUGUCUUUUUCAUUUAUUCUUUUAGCCAAUAAAUACUUGCCUAUACACAUGUGUCCAAUUUCACCUAUUUACAAGUAUUUAAAUAAUGAACAUAAAGACAAUCUAGAGAAUAGUUUGAAUUUUGAUUUCGAGAAAAUUUCGAGCAUUGAUGAAUUGAAAAAUGAAGAAGAAGCGGAUGACUAUGAUUUACCCCCUGAUUUGUUGAGAUUGUUGGAACAGAAGGAAAGGGAGAUUUUACCUCAUCGAGAACUCAUAGAAUUGAUUAACUUUGGAAAUGAGGAAGAUCAGAAAGAGGUUAAGAUUGGCACUUCGCUAUCAUUUGGUGAACGAAAAAAGUUAAAAGAAUUGCUUCGUGAGUAUGUGGAUGGGUUUGCUUGGUCGUACCAAGAUAUGCUAGGUCUUAAUACUGAUAUUGUUGUCCACAAGUUACCUUUGAAACUGGAUUGCAAGCUGGUUAAGAAGAAAUUGUGGCAGAUGAAGCUAGAUAUGUUGUUUAAGAUUAAAGAAGAGGUAAAGAAAUAAUUUGAUGUUGGGUUUUUAGAGGUGGCCAGGUAUCCUGAACGGGUAGCUAAUAUAGUCCCUGUUCCUAAAAAGGAUGAGAAAGUUUGAAUGUGUGUAGAUUAUAGGGAUUUGAACAGAGUAAGCCCGAAAGAUAGUUUCCCUUCACCAUAUAUUGAUACUCUUGUGGACAAUAUAGCAAAACAUUCUUUAUUCUCGUUCAUGGAUGGUUUUUCUAGGUAUAAUCAGAUUAAGAUGGCAUUCAAAGAUAUGGAAAAAACAACGUUCAUAACAAUGUGGGGAGCAUUUUGUUACAAAGUUAUGCCAUUUGGAUUGAAAAAUGCAAGGGCCACUAACCAAAAGGACAUGGUAACUUUGUUCCAUGAUAUGAUGCAUAAAGUAAUAAAGGUAUAUGUGGAUGACAUGAUUGCAAAAUCUCGUAGGGAAGGGGAUCAUACUAUUAAUCUCAAGAAAUUGUUCGAGAGAUUACGAAAGUUUUAACUCAAGUUGAAUCCUACAAAACGUAGUUUUGGUGUUACUUUUGGGAAAUUGUUGGGGUUUUUAGUAAGCGAAAAAGGGAUCGAAGUAGACCCAGAAAAAAUACGAGUUAUUCAGGGACUUCCACCUCCCAAAACACAAAAAUAAGUGAGAGGAUUCUUAAGGAGGUUGAAUUACAUUGCUUGAUUUAUAUCCCAACUCACUUCCAAAUGUGAUCCGAUUUUCAAACUGCUUCGGAAGCGAAACCUUGGAGAGUGGAAUGAAGAAUGUCAAAUAGCUUUUGAUAAAAUCAAAGAAUAUCUCGCAAAUCCAUUGGUGUUGGUACCAUCAAUCGCUGGAAGACUUCUUAUCUUGUAUUUGAUCGUGAACAAGAAUUUCAUGGUAUAUGUAUUGGGGCAGCAUGAUGAAAUAGGCAAGAAAGAACAGGCCAUAUACUACUUAAGCAAGAAAUUCACAGAGUAUGAAUCCAAGAACUUUGCACUUGAAAAGAUGUGAUGUACACUAGCAUGGACUGCUCAAAGGCUUCGACAAUAUAUGUUAUAUCAUAUAACGUGGUUGAUGGCAAAAUUGGAUCCCAUUAAAUAUAUUUUUGAAAAACCAUUCCUGUCUGGAAGAAUAACACGAUGGCAAGUUCUACUGUCUGAGUCUGAUAUUGUGUAUGUGUCCCAAAAAUCAAUCAAGGGAGUGUCAUUGUUGAUUUCCUUAUAGAUCAAGCUACCAAGGAUUAUGAGCCUAUAAGUUUCGAUUUUUUAGACAAAGAUUUGAUGACCAUCUUGCACAUAGAAAACGAGGGUCCCAAUGAACUUAGUCUUUGGAAGAUUUAUUUUGAUGAGCAUCCAAUUCUUUGGGGCAUAAAAUUAGUGUAGUAUUGAUUUCUCUAGAUGGAAAGUAUUAUCCAACCAUGGCAAAAUUAAAUUUCAGCUGUACCAAUAACAAGGCAGAGUAUGAGGCAUUGGUGAUGGGAUUACAAGCAACAAUUGAUAUGAAGGUCGACACAAGAGAAGUUUAUGGAGAUUCUGCUUUGGGGAUCUGUCAAAUGCGAUGUGAAUGGGAAACUAGAGAUUCUAAACUGAUUCCAUGUCAAAAGCUAGUUACAGAAUUAAGUAAACAGCUCAAGAAAAUUAGCUUCAAUGAUUUGCCUUGAGAAAAGAACCAAAUUGCUGAUGUUUUAGCCACCCUUGCAGCAAUGUUCAAAACAAAUAACAAAGCUGGCAUACAUCCUUUUAAUUUGUGAAUUCAAGGAGUCUUUGCACAUUGCUUGAAUGUUGAAGAAGAACUUGAUGGAAAACCAUGGUACUAUUAUAUCAUGUAAUACAUUAAGGUCCAGGUGUACCUUGAGAAUGCCACGGAAAAUGACAAGCGAUUUCUCAUAAGGUUAGCAAUGGGUUUUUUCCUCAAUGGAGAGGUACUCUAUAAAAGAAACUAGGACCAAAUUCUCCUUGGAUGUGUGGAUGCAGUCGAAGCCGGUAAAAUAAUGAAAGAAGUUCAUCAGGAUCAUGUAGAGCUUAUGCCAAUGGACAUAUGUUGGUGAGACACAUUAUGAAAGUUGGAUAUUAUUGGUUGACGUUGGAAGCAGAUUGUAUAAAUUUUGCUCGGAAGUGCUACAAAUGCCAAAUUUAUGCUAAUAAAAUCCACGCUCCAUCAUCUCCAUUACACGUUUUCACAACACCAUGGCUUUUUUGAAUAUGGGGAAUGGAUGUGAUUGGGUUCAUCACUCCAAAGGCUUUUAAUGGACAUCGAUUUAUAUUGAUGGCCAUCGAUUAGUUCACAAAAUUGGUAGAAGUAGCUUCCUAUGCUAAUGUGACACAAAAUGUGGUAUGCAAGUUCAUAAAAAGGGAGAUAAUAUGUCGAUAUGGGCUUCUAGAAAGGAUAAUUUUCGAUAAUGCGAGAAAUUUGAAUGGUACAAUGGUAAGGGAAGUUCAUGCUAAAUUCAAGAUCAAGCAUCAUAACUCAGCAACUUACCAUUAAAAAAUGAAUGGAGCAAUAGAAGCAGCUAACAAGAACAUCAAAGGAAUUAUCGAAAAGAUUGUUGAAGUUUAUAAAAACUGGCAUGAGAAACUUCCUUUUGCUUUGUACGCAUAUCGGAUUUUUAUGCGUACCUCCACAGGAGCAACUUUAUACUCACUAGUAUAUGGUACAAAAGCAAGUCUACCUGUUGAAGUGGAAAUCCUAUCAUUGAGGGUGUUAAUGGAGACAAAAUUGGAAGAAGCUAAUUGAGUCUAUUUUCAUCAUGAACAACUGAAUUUGAUUGAGGAAAAAAGACUCAUGGAACUAUGUCACAGUCAAAUGUAUCAACGAAGAAUGAUGCGGGCUUUUGAGAAAAAAGUUUGUCCUAAGCACUUCUGAAAAGGAGAGUUGGUUCUCAAAAGAAUACUUCCCAAUCAAAAUGAUCUUUAAGGAAAAUGGAUGCCAAAUUGGGAAGGACCGUAUGUGGUAAAGAAAGCUCUUUCAAGAGGAGCUCUAAUUCUAGCUGACAUGAAUGGAGGAGAUUUGCCUAAUCCAAUAAAUGCGAAUGUGGUAAAGAAGUGCUAUACUUAAAAAAAUUGAAAACAAAAACAAAAAAUAAAAAUAAAAAGCAAAAAAGGAGAACAUUCAUGUUGAAAACCCAAAAAGGGUAGCUCGUAUCCAAAGGAAAAGGCUCACGUUGAAAACUAGCAAAGGGCGACUUAAGGCUAAAAGAGAAAAUCUAGAAUGAAAUUUGAAGAUGUCAGCUCAAAUGGAGUACGAAGGUGAGGUAAAAAUACACUAAGAAUCGAUCUCAACAAUUUCACGAAAAAAAGGGAAGUUAUAAAUCCACAAUUUACAGAUUUGCUCAAAACAUUAAUCAAGGACAAUUCUUGAUGUCAGAAGAUCAUAUUAUUUACUCUGAAUGGUUUGAGUGUUCAUUACUUAAAAAAUUUGAUGUUUGCUCUGUAAAUUCCCUUUUCGUUUAGUUAUUUGCACUUUUAUAUAUGGAAUUCUCCUGCCCUUCUUUAUUUCAACCCUUUUGAUUUUUAACAUCACGUAAUUCCACAUAAUGAUUAUCACGAAAAUGAAUGAUGAUUGGUAAAAGGAACAAACUAAUUAAGUAAGAACUUACAAUCAUUGUCCAAUAAAAGACUUAUGAUGAGGUAAAAAGAAUGGGGAGCCUUAACAUGAGAAAAAGGUCAAAUGUCGAAAGAAAGGAUCUUUAAGGGAAAUCAAAAGUUACCUAAGGUAACUAAAAGAAAAGUGAAUAGGCAAAGAUGAGUGAAAACUAUAGUGGAAAAGUUAGAUGAAGCAAAAGAAUAGUCAAGGAACUUUAAUGAAACAUAAACAUGAAAGCAUUUUAUCAUUUUAAUCUUGCAUACAUGUUUAAUCAUGCAUAUGAUCAUUUUCAAGCUAGAGUUUUGAGGUUGUAAACCUUUGAUUAACAUGGAAGGGUUUGAGUAUUUCAUUUUCAUAAAACAACCAAUGAAGAAGGGAUUUAAGGUUAAUUAAGUUGGUUGGAGAGAUUCCAAGCCAAAUUUAGUUGACACUAAUAUGAAUUUAAGUCCAAUCUAGUUGGUACAAAAAUGAUGUUAACCCAUUUAAGUUGGCAUUAGAAAAUUUAAAAUCGAACUUGUUGUGAGAUAGGUCGAGCUUAGAUCAAGUCUAGGGAUUUCAAUCUUUCAAAUCGAACCUACUUUGAGAUAGGUCAAGCCUAGAUCAAGUCUAGGAAUCUUGAUUUCAAAUCGAACCUAUUGUGAGAUAGGUUGAGCCUAGAUCAAGUCUAGAAAUUUUAAUUUUUCAAAUCGAACCUGUUUUGAGAGAGGUCAAGCCUACAUCGAGUCUAGGAGUUUUAAUUUCAAGUCAAACCUAUCUUGAGAUAGGUCAAGCCUAAAUGGAGUCUAAGAGUUUUAAUUUCAAAUCGAACUUAUUUUAAGAUAAGUAGAGCCUAGAUCAAGUUUAGGAAUCUUAAUUUCAAAUCGAAUCUAUUUUGAGAUGGGACAAACUUAGAUUAAAUUUAAGAAUUUUGAAUUUUAAAUUGAAUUUAUUUUGAGAUAGGUGGAGCAAGGUGUCUAUGUCUUCGCACAAUCCCUGAUCCUCAAGGGUGCACAAAGAGGGACAACUAUAGACACCAAUUUUUAAAUUAUGGGUAAUUAAUAUUUUUAUGGGUGUUUUUUCUCUUUAUAUGUGUGCUUUUAUUUUACUUUACUUUACUUUAUUUUAUUUUACUUUCUUUUAUUCUUAACCAAAUUCAUGUAGGUGCCCAAUCGGCUUUCAGUAAUCCAAAUUUUGUUUUGAGGCAUUUUACUUAAUAGAAACAGGCCCAGAUAGUUAAACUUGAAGCUAAAUAGAUCAAACUAAACAACAGGAUUAAAAUUGAUAAUCAAGGAUUAAAACUAAAUGAAACUAAGAACUUUAUGAAAACCAAAAGAACAAAAAAUGAAUAAAAUAAGAAAUGAAAAAAAAGGCUAGCUAGGGGCAUACGGCAGAGUGCAUUUUGCACCCUGCCAAGGACAAUCAUGCCUUGCUAGACGCGAGAAAUCCACAUUUGGCAGAGGCCUUGCAAUGCUGAGGAUGGCAUAGGUGGCUACAUCCUUAGCAUCGAAAGGCAGCUAUAAAAUUGUCCCUUUCCCAAAUCAAAAAGAGAGAGCUAGAGAUCAAAAAAGGUCCCUUUUUAAAAAAUCACUAACCUAGCCGAAACCUUAUUUUUGAAAACCCUAGCUUCUAUUACCAACCGGUGAGAUACCACAACCAAAAAUUAAAAAAAUUAAAAAAUAUAUAUAGAGAAAUAGAAACCAUCAAAAUCGAAAGCAAGAUCUAGGAAAUGGGUUUGGUGAGGUUUUGAAGGGGAGGUUUGGCAGUGUGAGAGAGGUAAAGUUUUUUAGGUUUAAACUAUCUCUUUCUUUUCUUUUUUCAACCGAGAGAGCUAAAAGAGAUAGUUGUCAAGGAAAUGAAAAGAGUAAGGGCUUUCAAGGCUGGUAGUGUUAUUGACUGUUGAAAGGGAAAAUGGGAGUUGAAAGUUUUAGAGAGAAGGUAAAGAGUGCCACCGAGUAGAGAGAGAAAAUGAAAAGAGGAAAUGAAGAGAGAGAAGGAAAAGAAGGGAUUUAUACCUAGGGUUGUGGGUUGAAACGGUGUCAUUUUGGAAGAGUGAAAAGGAAGUAGAUCUUAGCCCAAAACGGCGUAGUUUUGAGAGAAGAAAAUAAGCUGCUAUUGUAAGCACCAAACGGUGUGUUUUAGGAAGAAGACUUGGUGGGCUGUAGCAGACUUGGGCCCUUCCUAGCCUAGUAAGGUAAGACCUUUCAUCUUUUAUGGAUCUAUUGUUGGUUUAGGUUAUUUAGGUCUAGCCCAUGUCAUUUGCUUAUAAAUGUUUUGUUUGAUGAUGAAGAAUUACUUUAAAUUAUUUUAGUAUAAUGUUAUAAAAAUUCCAGAUGAUAUUUUAGUGUUAAGGGGUUAAAACAAAUAGAAAAUAUAAAAAAUAAAAAUAGAAAUAAUAACAAAGAUAGCAAAAUAAUAAAAAUGUUUUAAGUAUGGUUUGUUAUAAAAAGAAUAUAAGUUUAGAUGAAUAUUUAGUUAUGAAAAAUGAGGUUUAGGUAAGUAGAAUAUAUAUAUAUAUAUACNGAACAAACAUAAAAUUAUAAACUAGUAAUAAUAAUAGCAAAAUAAUAAAAAUGUUCUAAAUAUGGUUGUUAUAAAAAGAAUAUAAAUUUAGAUGAAUAUUUAGUUAUGAAAAUUUAAGUUUAUGUAAGUAGAAUAUUUAUAUAAAUAGAAAAUACAUGUCUAAAUAAGAAAUACAUUUAUGGUGAUAGAUUUAGCUAAGGUAAAAAUAUAGAAAAAAAUGUUUAGCAAAAAGAAAGAGAUUUAAAUAGAAAAAUGGAAAAUACCUAUUUAUAGAGAAAUAGACUUUUGUAAAUGAAAAAAUAUAUAAGAAAAAUAAAAUAUAUUUAGUCAUAAAUGAAAAUAGGUUAGGUAGGUAAGAGAAAUGAAAUAUUUAGUUACACAAAUUUAUAUAGGUAUAUACAUAAAUAUAAAAAUUAUGAUAUAAUAUAAAAUUAUAAAUAUAAAAAAAUAGUGUGGUUGCUUUGGAUUAAUUCCGAUGAUGGAAUUUCAUCCGAAAAGGCAAAGAGUUACUAUUUUCGGGAUGACAUUCUUAGGAACCGGAUUCAAAUAAGGCUUUCUCCAAAAUGUCGGGAUAAAUCCUAAUUUUGUAUUUUGAGAUUCUGAUUAAUUCAAAUAAUUAUCCUAAAAUUCAUAAAGAAAUAAUUUCAUAUAAUGUUGUCACGACCCCGGUACUCCC